GAGGUAGAUUCCAUUUGGUAUACAGAGUAUACUGUUUGGAAAGCCCACUUUAAACACCUCACUAAAUCUAGCAUUGUCAUCAUCCCCGUAAGUAGAUUAAUCAGUAUAACGACUUGGAAUCACUGAUAAAUCUUGUUUGUAGGUUCAUAAUAACGAUAAUGAAUUUAAACAUAAGGUACACUUAAAGCGUAAUAGGUGUAGCUCAACUUAUAGGGUUUCUAGCGAAAACUUAGAACUCCAUGGUUAGAACUUCUUCCCUGAAUCUUUUUCUAAAAAGGUUCUUAUAGCGCUUUAGUGCUCACCUUACUCUACUAAAACUACAGAAAGAGAAGUCGAAUCACAAGGACCAAAAUGCUCGGGGAUAAGAAGAGAAAGACUCUUGAAUCAAGAGAAUGGUGCAAGAAAUAUGAGAGCCUAUAGCCUCAUGUUUAUAGUAAUUGAAUUUUCCAAAACUACCAUUUAUAGUUACUUAAAUGGCCUUAUAGUUAUUUAAACGACUAACCGCCCCUUUAUAAUACUAUUUUAAAUAUAUUUAACGAUAUUUGUACUAAACUAAUGUUGAAAGUAUUCAAUAUUAGUCUUAUAAUGAUUGCAUCGUUGAUACCUUUCUAAUGAUAUAUAUAUAUAUAUAUAUAUAUAUAUAUAUGUGUGNUAUAUAUAUAUAUAUAUAUAUAUAUAUAUAUAUGAUUUUUACUUUAUUUUAAUUCGUAAAUAUGUUAUUAUAAAUUAUAACUUGUUCAUACAAACUCCGUUUUUAACGUUCUAUAUGUCCACGCGUAACUAUAGACGAGAUCUACAACUUUCGUUUAGACUCCGUCGGCUAAUUAUGAUAUUAUAUUUAAAGUUAUAUUUUAACAGCCUUAGACUGUUAAAGUCCAUUAAGAAUUCAUAACUUUGUCAUCAAUCGUCCGUUUUCAACUGUCAUUUUAUCUUUGGAAUCCUAUUAACGAGAUCUUCAAUUCUCUUUUAGAUUGUUUCGGUUAAAGAUCAACCAAGCUAAAAUUCGAUUUCUAAGUUGUAUACCGCUAUGCUGAAUCUUAGAAAAAUCAUAAGUUCCUCUAACAAAGUCAGAUUCAGACAUUUCUUUAUAUGCACUCUCUCAGUUUGAUGAUUACUACGAUUUUCAUUUAAAUCACUAACGCUAAAAAGUAUUUUAUCAAAACCUUACGUUUUACUUUAUAACUUCUUCGUUAUAAGUCGGAUUUUAGUGUUCUUUAUGUGUACGGAAUCCUAGUGACAUACACUAUAACUUUGGUUAAGAUUAUUUAUUCUAAAUAAUCUUCUAUCAAAAAAUCAUUUUUAACGCUUAUUAUCUCUAAAUUGAGUAGCCUGGAUCUACGAGCCUUACAAUACACAAUAUACACAUCCCUAAAAAGCUCCUUAGUAGCCUCGAUACUCUUCCUGAAUCUCAUAUGGAUCAUGUGCUUCCAGUAGUACGGGCCUAUAGUUGUAGGUUUCCAUUUCUACGAUUGGAUUGGUGUGGAAGGAUAAUAUCAAGAAGAUAAUCAUAUGAACAAUGAUGAACAAGAAUAUAUGAGUAAAAUGGUAAUGGAUUGAUAGAGAGAAUCAACAUAUUACAUGAAGAACACUCAUGGAUGGGGAGAGACCAGACCCCAUCCAGAAUCUCUCUAGUCUAAAGUCUACAUAAGUGCACUCAUAAUAAAAUGAUCACUCACCUCCACUUUAUAUAUUAGUGGAGAGAAUAUGCUUUCAUACAGUAGAAUAUUCUAACCUAAUAAAUCACUCAUGACUGUAGAGCAUUUUCAUGCUCCAACAAUCUCCUCUAAAUGCUCAGAAAUGGUGAGGGUAAUGCAUUGAUAAAAAGGCAGAACAUUCGACAAGCAUGCUUUGGUGUUGAAGUGUCUCGGAAAAGUUGAAGCUGUCAUGAUCUCAGAAUCUAGCAAUGGGAUCUGUAGCAUCAAAGAGCAUACCGAGAAACCCAAUCUCUGAAUAAGAAUGUAAAAUCAUAAUCUUUGAAAUUGGUCAGUACUUAAAAAUCGAUCAUGUUCAUAGUCUCCCCCUUGACUGUUGAAUCGAAGAGCAAAAUGUCGAGUCACACAACGUCUUCAGUAUUCCGAACUCGAGUGAUAAUGCACCAAAAAAUCUUUGAAGAAUAACCUGCUGAAAAUGUGAAGCAUCCAAAAGUAAAGUCUGAAUGAUAAAUAAUAUGAAUCCGAAGACAUGGUCUAGCAAUGCCAAAAAUUUGAUUGGAAUAUCAAAAAUAAGUAUCACGUCGCAUCGCCAAAAUACUCUUCGUUUUCAAAAUAUCGUAAAUCCAAACUCGAACAAUCAUAAGAUCUAAUCUGGAUGCUAACACAAAUGAAACAUCCCAAAAUGUAAAGUCUGAAGAUAAAUAGUCAUAAUCCGAAGAACAUCUAGUAACGUCAAAAACUUGAUCUGUAAAAGAUCAAAAAUCAGUGUCAAAUCACAAUUCCAAAUCGAUCGCCGUCUUCAAAUGUCUAUAACUUCAAAACUCGAAUAAUAAACUUAUAAUGGAUGCUCAUGAUUCUCCCUUAUUUUUGAUCGAUUAUAUAUUAAAGAUAAAAAGUUAUCAUGAAACCAGACAAAAGAAUACGUCGGAUAUGACGGAGCAAACACUGUAGAAUAUAUAUGAUAAACCCCUUGAUGUGAGCAUCUACCCGUAAAAACGAUGAUAUUAUUUUUCGGGUCGACAUGCUAGUCUUUUUUUUAAUAUAUUCUAUUACAUCGGUCAAUAUUAAAGAAUGGGUUAAGAAUUUUAUAAUGACAUUCAUGGUCUUCGCAAUUAUAAUCACAUUUUAUUUGUAUUGGAAAUGCUUGCAAUUUCAAUAUCUUUGUCGACGUCGGCUUUGAUACUGUGGUUUUCUGAAGCUGAAAACGGAAAAUCUAGAAAGAAAAUGAGUAUUUUAGUUUGAGUUUGUGCGAAAAAUAAUGAAACUUCAAUUUAUUUUGCUUGCAAAAUUUUGAAAUAUUAAUUCGCAAUCCUAAUUUGAAAUCAAAAAGAUAAAAUAAUGAUCACAAAGGUUAUUUCACAGUGGGUUGUCAAUUUCGCUAUCUUGGACAAUUUUGACAUGUUUGACCCGCUUUGUUUUAUUAAAUUAUUUAAAUUAAAUAUUAAAUAUUAUUCACUUGAACGGUUGGAAAUGAAGUUAACAAUCGUAAUAAUUUGCUAUACCUAAAUUUAAAUGCAUUUAUUAUCUCAACAUCAACGAGAAUUAGUUUCCACGUGUUUCUCUUCAAUUAAAAAGUAAACUAAUUUGAAUCUUAACAUCAGUCGCAUAAAUAAGUUUGUAUGUGGCAGGUCAUACUUGGUGCUACAAUCGUUGUCAAUCAUUCAAUGCAAGGCCACACACCAUCAUGUCGAUUACAUGUUGGUUAUUAUUAUUUGGGUCGUAAUUGAUUUGGUUACAAAUUCCAAACACCUUUUAAUAGAAUUAGUAAAGAAAUGGAUUAAAAAUUUAAUGAGAAGCGUGCUAUAAUGUUGAUUGCGGAUGAUAUUAGUAUGUUUAAUUUUAAUUGGAUUAAGAAUAUGUCUAAAUUUAAUGAUCUUAAUUGACAUAUGUGAUGUAAUUCUCCUUUAUCUUGUUUAUCAUUUACUUUGUCUUGAACGUAUCACUUAAACUUUUGUUUUUUUGUUAAGGGAAAAUGAUUUAGGAGGCUAACUAGCUCUUAUCCGUAUUCACAUAUUAGAAACUUCUUCUUUUUUGUACAUAAUAAAGCAACUAACUUAUUUUAAUUGUUUAAAUUACACCAAUAUUACCAGCUAAUACCUGUUUUAACCGGUAACUCAAAGAGAAAAUGACUUAGGAGGGUAACUACCUCUUAUCCGUGUUCAUAUAUUGGCAACUUCUUAUUUUUUGUACAUAAGAAAACAACUAACUUGUUUUAACUGUGUAAGAUCCCAAAAAUCAUGACCAAAAAUUUCGUUUUUAAUUUAAUACUAAAAUCAUAAUUGGCAAACAUUUAAUUUAAUACUCCGUCAUCAGGCCCCGCCCGGCAUCAGGCCCCGUUUGGCAUCGAGCCCCGCUCGGUAUACAUAUCUAUCUCUCUUAGGUCCCGCCUGUCUCCGGGCCCCGCCCGCUAAACACAUACAAUCAUAUAACAUGCUAACACACAAAGAAACAUACGCUACUGUAUCCCUGUCCUAAGAAACAUUCUGCUAAUAAUGAGAUACGGGACGUCGUCCGUACUCAGCUAGUGAUGAGAUACGGGACCUCGCCCACACUUACCUCUUUACCAGGCAUAUACAAGUAUCACACAGACAAGAAGUAUAAUUUAACAUGCAAACAUUCCUCGGGCACCCGCUCGACAUCAGACCUUGGUUUGGAAUAACAUACUAGCAUACAAUGCCUAAGGCUAAUCCCCGGGUCUUCCUACUCAUAGACUACAUGGGCUGACAUUGUGGCCUUAGACUCUUUCACACAGUAGGGAGACUCACCUUGCACUGCUGAAGCCCUGGCUGGAACUAGCUAAGUACGGACGAAGUUUCGUAUCUCAUUAUUAGCAGAGUAUGUUUCUUAGGACAUGGAUACAUUAGAGUAUGUUUCUUUAUGUGUUAGCAUGUUAUAUGAUUGUAUGUGUUUAGCGGGCAGGGCCCGGAGACAGGCUGGGCCUAAGAGAGACAUAUAUGUAUACCGAGCAGGGCUCGAUGUCAGGCAGGGCCUGAUGUCGGGCGAGGCCCGAUGCCAAAGUAGUAAAUUAAUGGUUUGACAAUUAUGGUUUUAGUAUUAAACUAAAAACGAAAUUUUUGGUCAUGAUUUUUGGGAUGUUACACAGUUAAAACAAGUUAGUUGCUUUCUUAUGUACAAAAAAUAAGAAGUUGUCAACAUGUGAAUACGGAUUAGAGGUAGUUACCCUCCUAAGUUAUUUUCCCUUUGAGUUAGCGGUUAAAACAUGUAUUAGCCGGUAAUAUUCGUGUAAUUUAAACAGUUAAAACAAGUUACUUGCUUUAUUAUGUACAAAAAAAAAGUUGUCAAUAUGUGAACACGGAUAAGAGGUAGUUACUCUCCUAAGUCAUUUUCCCUUUCGUUAAUGAAAUGUUUGUUGUUAAAAAAAAAAAAAGUAGGUUAUUUCUUUUUAUCAGGGUUUUUUUUUUUUUUUUUUUUUUUUUUUUUUAUUUAAACGGUAAGAUUCAUAUCAUUUACAAGCAAGUGCAAAGCUAGAAAACACUAUAAAUGAAACAAAAACAAAAUACAAACCAAAGGUGCGUUUAAGUAAGUUAAAUGACACUAAAUUAAAUUAUUAUAUUUACAAGUAUGAUGGUCUAUUCUAACAUCCUUUUAAAUAUAAUUUAGGGAUACAUGUGGAAGUACUUGCUUGCUUUAUAAAUUUUAAACUCAUAAUUUAAUCUGAUUUAUUCGUGAAUGAUUGUACUAAAGGUGAUCGGCAAGUAAUUUUGCAUAUUGUCAUAGCUUAUUCUCAAGUUCAUGAUGAUAGGCAAAUAAUUUUAUAUUUAUUAGAUAAGUAUCAUAUCAUAUUACAGUUAAUUUCAUAUCCAACAUUCAUCCUCAUUUAUAAAACAAUUUUAUUUUUUAAUUCAUGGAUGGCAUUUACCAAGGAUCCCGACUUGAAUAAUGAUUUUUUUGCCUUAAUAUAUUUCUAACAGAUUUAUUGACAGGGUUCUCCCAUUCUUUUUGUUAAUGUUGCUUGUCUUCCUUAAACAAUAUUUUCAAGGUAUUACAAACUCAUUUUGUUUUUCCGCGUCGUGUAUUCAAUGUAAUAACAGUAUCAUAUUUUUCUUUUGUGUUAUUUUUCUACGGUAUCGAUCCAUUUAUAUUAUGUAUUGCCUAAUUUUAAUUGGUCAAUGUUGUUAUUCUUCAUAAUAUAUCUAUCAAGAUCUUGUUGUUGGAUGUUCAAAACAUGAUCAAAGACUUCACCUGAUGUCACAAAAUGCAAGAACAAUAGAACAUAUGCAUGUUUGUUAGAGAAAUUUUAUAUUAUUCUUAAAGAAUUUAUUGUGUUCUUUUAGGUAUUAUUCUUUAAGAAUGUAUUUUAUUCUUUCAAAAAUAUUAUAUUAUUCUUCAAGAAUGUUAGUUAUCUAAUUUGUAUUUAUUUUUUUUAUUUUUAAGGAAAGUAAUUUAUUUUUCAAAAAUAUAACUAUAAUAAUUGNUUCAAGAACAGGGAUGAUAACAAUACACUGAAUUGUAUCCUUAGAAAAACAUUCUGAAAUAGAAACUUAUUCUUCAAGAAUAACAAUAAUAAGAAUAGAAAAUAAAUUAUGGAAGCGUUUAAAAAAAUGUUAAUUUCUAUUUUAAAAUUUGGUAUUUAUUAAUUAGGUUGCCUUAGUUGCCUAAAUUACAGGUAGUUUUUAUUUUUCUCUCUUAAUAAAAUGUCAUAUUUACCCUUAUUAUUAAUUAAGGGUAAUUAUAUAGCAAUGUAAGUCCAUGUUAAUUAUAUUUAACUUACUAUUAAAUUAUUUCAUUCGUUUAAUCUAAUAAUUAGAAUUUGAUCAUUCAGUAAUGUAACAAACCGUUAUUUCAAACUUAUGUAAUAGUGUAGGUCAAUUUGUACUUCUUUUUAAAUAAAUAAAGAGAAAUUUUGACAUUCUAUGUAUAUUUACAUAAUUGACCCUCAAAAAUAAAUUAUUAAAUAAUCUCAAUCGGGUUGAACCAAGUGAUAGAGAUUGUAACAAGGUUUCCAAAAAUAUAAAAAACACUAAAAUUCGAGUUAUAACGAAGAAGUUAUGACCAAUCGAAAAUCCGCGACAAAACCGUCAAAACACUGUUCAGUGUAAAAAUUGAAUUUUUGAUAAAAAAAAAAGGCUUUCUAUCCUUAACAAUCUAAAUGAAAGUUAUAGUUUAUGUUAAACUGAGAACUUUCAUAAAAAAACGCCAAAAUCUGAUUUCGUAUGAGGAAGUUAUGAUUUUUCUAAGUUUCAGUAUAGCAAUGUACAGCUAAAAACUCAAAAUAAAGAUCGAGUUGUCUUUAGCCGACACAACCUAAAUAAGAAUUGAAGGUCUCGUCAUUAAUAGUACAACGGUAAAAAAACAGACAAACACGGACGUCGUAUGAAGAAGUUACGAAUUUAUAACGGAUUCACGUCCCGGUCUGUUUAAAAUAAUAAUAUUAAAAAUAAAGUCAAAAUUAGCCGACAAAGUCUAAACGAAAUUCGUAGAGUAUAAUUUUACCUACGCAUGCAUAUAAAGAACGUCAAAAACGGAGUUCGUAUGCAAAAGUUAUGAAUUUUACAAAUUUUGGCAAACAAUAAAGAAAAAUAGCAAAAACCGGGAAUUUUUGCAUGAACAGUAAUGCCACGUCACCCCUCGCAUGCUAGGCCUCCACGUGUCGGCUGCUGGUUGGACCGAUGCCCCGCGUGUCACCUCCUGAUUCGACCAAGUCCAAGGUCCAGUAAGAACCGGACAACCUCGUAUGAGACACACCGGACCUCACCCUCGCACGCCCCUCGCACGCCCUCGCACCCGCUCCUUCGCACGUGUCUUCUUUCCAUUGGACCGAGAGUUAGACCAAUCCGAGCCAGCCAGCANNNNNNNNNNNNNNNNNNNNNNNNNNNNNNNNNNNNNNNNNNNNNNNNNNNNNNNNNNNNNNNNNNCACCCGCGCGCUUCGGGUCCGAACCUUCGGGCUAUAUAUAGCAUGCGAGGGCUUCCAAAAUUUUUCACUUUUUCACCCCAAAAAUCAUUCUCUUUCUCAUUCUCCACUCCCUUAUGCUCAUAUACAACCCCUAAAGCCCCGGUAUCAAGACUCGAGCCCGAAGUAAGCCGUGAAGCCUCGAAAUUCUCGAGAAUUCAUCCUCUCUCCUAUUAAAACUCUGCCCGAUUUAAGCCAUUUUUUUCGCCAAACAAACUAAUUUCCGGGAAACGAAACACCGCCUGUAUUACCACCUAUCAAGUGAGUUCAUACCCCCAUAUUUUCAUAAUUUCUAUUGUUUUAAGGGAGGGAAAUACAAGUAUAACACAACAACUUUGUGUUAUAAAUAAAUGAUUUCAAAUCACGAUAAAAUGAUUUUAAAGUAUCAAAAAUAAUCCAAAUAUUGAACAGUUUUAUAAACUUAUAUUUUUCCCAAAUAUACAUAUUUUUAUAUAUAAUUUAAUAUAAAUAAGAUUUAUUUCAUCAAUUUAAUUACCCUUUGUAACAUGUUGAGCAAAGGAUUACAUGCAAAAAUAGUUAUUUACCAAUUCAUAAAGUACAUAUAAAUUAUAAUAGGUAUAAUUUAUGAUACACAGAGCAAUAAUUCAUAUGAAUACACUGUUUUACAUGCAACAAGGGUUUUAAUUCAAAACAAAUCAAGGGUUUACACUUAUCAAAUACAUGUUCGGGAUACUAAUUCAAGAACAUACUAUCAAUCAUUUAUUUCAGAGUGAUUGGGUUUUCAUAACUAAUAUACAUAUAACGUUUAUAUGCUUUUUAUGAGACAUUCAAUUCAGGUUGUUUAAUUCAUUUUAGACAACCAAGGUAAAGCCCUGACAUUAUAACCAAAAUCUCUAGUCAGGGGAUCGAAACAAGUUGUGUGUAGAUCUAUAUCGGGAUUGACAACCCCGCACUCAGGCUGCUAGCUACAGUCAGGCAUACAUGCCAAUGAGUGGCAAUUGUUAUCAACAGUUUAAGCGCUCAUCAGGCGUUUGUUUCAGGCGUUGAUGUAUUAGUAUGGUUAUAAUAACUCAUUAAAAAGAUAUUAACAACACGUUAGUGUAUAAACAACUAAACGUAAGUACAUCUUCAAAGUACCAGUUUACAAAAUGCAAAGUACAAUAAUAUACUAUAGUUUUUAAUAACAGCUGGUGAAGCCAGGCACACUCUCAAAUACAAGUUUUACAAAUACAUUGGUUUACAAAUAGGACGGUUUUAUGGGAAUAAAACUACUUUUCACAUACCACAGAAAAUAUGGGAUUUUCUAGAAGUGUUUUCGUAUUCAAAAUACAAAGACACCCAUUCAAACAUAAAGACUUAUGUACUCACUCAACUUAUUGUUGAUACUCUCUUCUCAAAUUACUUGUAUCAUCAGGGAAAUAAUAACAGGUACUCCCCGAGCUUUUUGAGAAGAUGGAGCCAUUAGGAGUUUUAUCUUCUUCUUUUGUAUAACUAUUUUGGUUUCAAUAUACAAUGAUUGAACACAUGUAAAUAUUAUACUUUUAAAUCCAUAUAUCUUUAGCAGAAAUUAUUUUAUGGAAAAAAAAGAUAUAUUUGACAAACUAGUUGAAAAGUUUUCAUUUAGUUAAGAAACUUGAAACAUCUAAUAUGCUCAAGAGUCAUAUUAAAAUGAUAUUGUUAAAUAACAUAUGAUCCUAAAGGUCACAAUAACAACAACUUGAUACAAAUGAUUAUUUAUUAGAAAUUGAUUUUAAUAAAUAUUUCAUAAACUCUUGUAAUAAUUGGAAAAAUAUUUAUUUCAAGGGGAUUUUUAUUUUACAAUACAAGUAACAAAUUAUUUCAUAUGAUAUGCAUAUAAUAUGUCAUGCACAUCUUUUUGGACCGAAUAAUCAUUUUGUCUUUUAGCAAAAAGACAAAGUAUAUAUCUUAUAAACUCUGAGUUCAUAAAAUAUAAACUCUUGAUUUGUCUUUUCUUUUUGGAAACAUGAGAUGAAGAGAAAAGACAUUUGCUUUGGUAUAAUGCAAAUGAAUCAAACCUAGGAAGAUGUGUUCAUGACAUAAGAGACAAAGUUGUCUAAUGGUUAAUGACUCUUGGAUAAUAAUUCCAUUAUAAAUAAGAGGUGAGUGCUCUUAUUUUUCUUCACUCCAUUCUCCUUGGCCAAGAGCUCUUUCUUCUUCACCAUCUUCUCUCUAAAGUCUUGAACUUUGAAGAUUUUAUUGUUUGCAUUCUCUCUUUAAGUCAUAAUCUUGUUUUGGCUUAAAAUCUUAAGAGUUGUGUAACGCCCCGUUCUAAAAAGUAAUUAUUUAUGGAUUCCAGAGAUCAAGAGUAAGGGCGUUUUGGUCUUUAGGGGCAAUGGGGUUUCAUUCGAGAAGGUUUCGGACAGGGUAUGUUACUCGAAGCAUAGGGCUUCUCACCACCUUUCUGUGGACAUAAAGUUCGUCGGGAACGGAUCUAGAAUGAAGGAGUUGUGUUACUUUGAAGAUAUUGUCAACUAUGACCCUUAUGGAGAAAAUUGAAGAGAAAGGGGCAUACAAGCUUUUGGGACAUGCGUGGCUACGCCCAGCGUAGCGAGUAUUUGGAUCGUGGGAUGUAAGGCGUACGCCCAGCGUACGUGAAGGUACGCCCAGCGUACGCUAAAGUUCAUUAAACCCUGAUAUGGGUUAAGCCACUAUAUAUAUAACAUAAUGGCUUCAAGCCUAGCCCUCAUAUCAGCCUCCCUAACCUCAGAAGAAACCCUAGAAUGUUCCAACUUUCAUUUUUUGAGAUCAUGGCCUUGAAAAGCUCAUCUUGGUGGUUUUUAGCUUGGAAGAGAAAGGAAGAAGAUUUAGAAGGAGGAACCUUGGAAGCUAGAACUUGUAGAUCUAGGACAAGAGUUUCAUUUCGGACCUCUUCAAGGUAAAAAGCUUUGAGCUUGAUGAAUAAUCUCUUAGAUCUCUCUUGGUACAAUUUUAUGGACUUUUUGGUUCCAAGAGUGCAUCUUUAAGACUCUAUCACGUUUCUAAGUCUAGGGUUGCCACCCUUAGUAUCAUAUGAGUCCCUUAUGAAGUAAAGUUUCAACCUUUAGGGCUCAUUUGUGAUCAUGCAUGAGAUCUAGCCACCUUUAUGGAAGUAUGAUGUUAUAUUUCAAGUUUGGAAUCAUUUGGUGGGUUGCAAGCCACCAAGUAGCCGACUUUAUAACUUAAGACAUCUUAAUGGACUUGGAUCUGUGAUUAUAGCAUCUGGAUUGGAGUGUUAAGCACUUAAUAAGGAAAUCAAUUAGCAGAGCACUACGCUGAGCGUACGUGCAGGUACGCCCAACGUACCAUCAUCGAGCCUGUACGCUAAGCGUAAACUGAAUUACUCCCCGCGUAAUGCUGUCUGCUGGAUCAUGAGCUUUGUGUCGUGGUUUUGGGGCAUGUUUGGUUAAUUGGGCCUUAGUGGGCCCUCAGAAAUCAUAUUAUAUGGGUCAAGGAAUAUAAUUUGGGCUUAGGGUCAGGCCAUUAAGGGAUUGGGCUCAAUGUAGCAAAUUAGGUCAUUAGUGGGUCACUAGUGGGCUUGAGUGGCUUUCUAGUGUUGGACUUUUCAUGUUGUGGUUUUGGACCUUAGUCAUGGACCAAAUUGGGUUAAGGGUAAAAUGGUCAAUUUACCCUUAGAAGGAUAUUGUUUUGGAGCUAAGUGUUUGUGGCAUUGAUAGUUCGAGGCGCUAGAGGAGCAGUGGUGCGGGGAUUCUCAGAUAGUAGUCAGAAGGGUACCGACAGUGUUUCACCACUUUAAGGUGAGUCUUCUCACCAUACCCAUGGGUCUACGGCACCAAGGCCGGCCCAUUAUGUGUUUAUGAUAUAUGUGCAAUUACUUUGUGUCUUGAUAUGUAUUGUGAUCAUGUGUUUUGCAUGAAGACCCCAGGGGGAGCCCGUGGCCUUGGGUGUAAGACCAUGUGGGGUAGCCCAUGGCAGCCCAAGUAAAGACCAUGUGGGGUAGCCCAUGGCCUUAGGUGUAAGACCAUGUGGGGUAGCCCAUGGCAGUCCAAGUAAGACCAUGUGGGGUAGCCCAUGGCAUUGGAUGUAAGACCAUGUGGGGUAGCCCAUGGCAGUCCUAGGUAAAGUCCAUGUGGGGUAGCCCAUGGCAUUCUUGCUGGUCCUUUGCAUGCAUGGCCUAUGUGAUCUGUUAUUAUGAUAUGUGUAUGUGUGGUAUGCUCUGGGAAACUCAUUAAGCUUCGUGCUUACAGGUUUUGUUUAAUGUUUCAGGUAUCGUCGUUUUGGAAAGAAAGGGCUUGGAUUGAUUGCAGUGCACACACAUAUGAUUCCGCAAUGAAUGAUUUUGGGAUGAACUCUGAUAAAUGUUUUACUUAAUGAUGAUUUGAAAUGUUAGGAAUAAAUGAUAAUUAUUUUUAGGUUAUAUUAGAAAUGAAAUUUUUACCCUUGAUUUUUGGGUCGUUACAAGUUGUAACUAGCAUUACAUCAAGUUGGCACAUUGUUGAUGUCUCAAAGGUUCAUCCUCACUCCAUCAACUUCCAAGCCUCCCCUAGAGAACUCAAAGUGCUUCAAAGGUUGUUACCACUUCUUUCUUCUAUUGUUGUGUUUUAAAUCUUUCCUCUAGAUGCAAGAUGAUCCUUGGUGGGUGAUAAAAUGUAUAUAUUAUUUUAUAAAACUCAAGUCUUCCGUUUGCCAUUAUUUGUAGUUUUUGAAACUAUUUUUUUUUAAAUAAAACCCAACAAAACUAUAACUUAAAAUUUAGAUAAUAGCUAACAAACUAGCUAAUAGAAAUUAAAUAAAUGAAUUAUUGUCAACUUAAUAGUUAGAUAAUACUUGCAAACUAACUAAUAGAAAAUGAUUUUAAUAAUAUUAGUUCAUAGUCUAACUAAUAAACCAAAUGUCUUUUUGCCCAACGGUAUAAGGUGUUGUUAUUUCUCUUUAAAGUUGAGGGUUCAAGUCUCAUCGUCAACAUUGGUAGAAUCAGGGAGUAGUUUAGGAGUAAAUUAAAUUUUCUUUUAAAUAAAAAGAUAUUCUAACUGAUAAAUAUCAAAUAACAUAAAAACAAGUAUAAAAUGAUUUGUUUUUGUUUUUCUUGUUGUUGUUGUUGUUGUUGUUGUUAUUAUUAUUAUUAUUAUUAAAAGUUUGUUCCCUUAGUAACUGUACCUAACCAAGGUACUGUUUAUAGAGUUGGUUUGACUGACACAAGUUGGUUUAUUCCACCACCUCAAAUCGAAAACUUUAAUCUUUUUACCUCUGCCACUAGUGUGGCGUUUCACUGAUGUUCACCAAUUUUGUAACCCAAUCAUAGUAGCAUUGGUGUUGCCGUAUCUUAUUCAUUAACAUAAUCGACUCCCUUCUACCCUCAAUUCAUCAUCUUCCUCAAAACCACAUUUUGAGAUUCAUACACAUUACUAUCAUUGGCCCUAUAUAUAUUUUCGCCAGCGACUCCAACACCACCUCCCACCGAUUCUAGGUAAGGUUUUUCCUUUCUUGCUCUAAAAAUCGAUUGUCAAUUCAUAGAUUUUUUUAGCUCUGAAGCUUUGUUCUUCCUUUGGAUUUAUUUGGGGUUUUUGGUUAACUCAGUGAGGGUGACAAUCGUUAUGUAUUAUUAUAAUCUCGGUUUCAUCAAAAAUAUACUAUCAUUGUCCCCUAUAAAUCUUUUCGCUAGCGACCCCGUUAUGUAUUAUUAUAAUCCCGGUUUCAUAAAAAAUAUACUAUAAUUUUCCCCUAUAAUCCCGGUUUCAUCAAAAAUAUACUAUCAUCUAUUACUAUGAUAUGUGUAUGUGUGGUAUGCUCUGGGAAACUCACUAAGCUUUGUUCUUACAUGUUUUGUUUAAUCUUUCAGGUAUCAUCGUUUUGGAAACGAAGGGCUCGGAUUGAUCACAGUGCAUACACCUAUGAUUUCCGCAAUGAAUGAUUUUGGGAUGAACUCUGAUAAAUGUUUUACUUAAUGAUGAUUUGAAAUGUUUGGAAUAAAUGAUAAUUGUUUUUGGGUUAUAUUAGAAAUGAAAUUUUUACCCUUGAUUUUUGGGUCGUUACAAGUUGGUAUCAGAGCCUUGGUUUGAGGGAUUCAAACACACUUUUGGGUGUUUCUGAACUCAUACUGAGGAUUUAUAAAGCUUUCAAAAGAAAAUUGUUUUAAGUGAAGAAUUUCUAAGACAAGAAAGAGUGUGGUGCAUGCAAUCAGCCAAGCUCGAGUAAGUUUCCCAAGAAUACCCACAAUUGUUAUCUGUUAUGAUUUGAUUAUGACUCUGUGAGUCGCAUGUUAAUUAGGGCUAGGGGAGAUGCCUUUAUAUGUUGUGUGAGCUGGUAGACUUGCGUGCUAGUGCUGAGUAGUCAGCAAUAGGUUGGCCUGAUAUAUGAUGCUUGUAAUCAUGAGGAUAUUGGAUGUCAUGCUAGAAUUAGAAUGAUAAUUAGUAUUUUUAACUGUUAAUUGUAUGUUUUAAAAAUUGUAUACAGUUAGGACUCGUUUCCUGUUCUGUGUACAAUUUGCAUGCACAAAGGCAGCCGACAACAAGGAUGGAUAGAUGUGCACAACAUGGGUUGUAGUACGUAGGGCGGUUGUCUGAUGAUAGCUUCGCAGGUUGGAGACUACCCUAGGGGAAGCCUAGGAUGAGAUUAGUGACAGGUGUCACUUGCUUGCGGAUUGGAUGUGAGGAUAGACUGAUUUGUGUAGUGUAUGCUGGUUAGAUUUUCCAUUGUCUGAAUGCUACUUGCUUUGUGCUUUGUGGGACUCUUAGUAAUAUAAGCUAGAUAUUAAGUGAAUAUGCUAAGUCACAUGUGGCACAGGCUGGCUAAUCUCAAAGUGAUAGAUUUGACCCUAUUGCGCAACUCUUGUCUGAGUCUAACCGUUCUAGGGAUGAGCCUAUUACUCGAAGGAUUAUCUGAUCUCUGUUGCAUGUGGCUAUAUCCAUAAGGUAGCUAGUUGACAUUAUUGAGAAUCUUUCAGCAGCUGAGGACUGGGUGAGUGCGGGAACCUAAGAUAUGCUCCAACGAGUUUAGUGGGGCGAUUCGGUGAAAUUGGGAACCUAGGGGGAGCCAUGAGGUGCUACGGUAGAGAUUGUCUUGCUGUUUAGCAUACAUUUAGUGUACCGAUGGAGUAAGCGACUUAGAGGAUUCAAGAGGAUUGCUGAGGAAAGUAUGGAUAGGUGUGGAAGGUAGUAUUUGAUGGGUUUGAGCCAUAAGAACUUUCCUAUGUGCACAUGCAAACCCUAAUGCUUGGAUCUAGGUUUCUCUAAUUGAACAUGCAAUGUAUCCAAGACUUUCAUUCAUAGAUCUAGUAUAAACAAACAAUUCAUAACAUAGGAAAUCAGAUCUAGAAGAAUACCUUGAAUUACUUGCUUGAAACUUCUUAUUCUUGGAGCUUAGAGUCACAAUUGUCACUCCUCUAAUGGCUUACAAACACCUACUAGCAAGAAGAUGAUUUGAUAGAGGGAGAGAGGUGAGAAAUUGGCCCUAGGGUUUCCUCAAUCAUAGAGUGGCCAAUUUCCUCAACCCUAAGGGUCUAUUUAUACUAUGAGCUCCUAGGGUUUCACCCUAAACCCUAAUUGGAUAACUUAGCCUCAAAGCAAUCCAAAGAUCCUCCUAGAUAAUGGCUUUGACGAUUUUAAGAUAUCCCUAUCCUAAAAAUCAUCCCUUCCCAUAUCCAUAAGGAUUCAUAGCCCAAAACACAACUAUCACACAUUUGACAGUUUAUGCCCCUUUAUUUAAUUAAUCUCUUUAAGUCACCAAAUUAAUUCCUAAUUAAUUUAUGAAUUAUAUGAAUCAAAUAAUAUUAUUAUUCCUUUAACAUAUUAUUCUUAUAAUACAUUAAUAAUAAUAUCUCUUCUCUCUAUAUAAAUCACCCUAUUAGGUUGCUAUGGUGAAGGCAACCCAAAAGGACCAUGCACAACCGGGUCAAGUACUUACCAAUUAUAGUUACAACCUUAGACACUAAUCCAACAGUCUCCCACUUGGAUAAGUCUACUAACUAUAACUGCAAACACAAUCCGAUUAGCAAUAUCAUGUGCUUUAGAUAAGGGAUCGUACAGUCCUUUGUUUUGAUAUCGUGCAGCCAAUCUCAUGAAACAUUUUUCAUACUUAUUGUCUAGCAAUUAUUUUCUCGAUCUCAGAUUUAUUUGACAUAGAACUUAAUUGAACACAUCAAUUCACUCCUGACCGGGCCCGACACAUAAGUCAAAUCAAAUCAUCGGGUGGCUGUGAUAUCGCUAUUACCCUCUCAGGAUAAAAGUAACAGAUAAACUUCGACUUAUAUGCAUUUACUUAUUCACUAAUCAACUAUACACAACAAUGCGGUUUAUGUCAUCAAUUUACUGAUGCGGUUUCGCAUUAUCAAUGCACAACCAAUUAGUAAAUAAUAAACCAUAUAUCUAGGUUUUAAGACCAUAUGAUAUUAUCGUCUUGCGAUCACUUGUGGUACAUUCCAUAAAGUGAUUCCAGCAAGCGCAGGUUUAUUCCAAUGCUCAAAACUUGUUCAUAAGCACUCAUGAACGUUGUAGCAAACCUUUGCUAUGUCUAAUACCAUUUAGACAAUCUACACACCAAUUCAUGACAAUCUUUAUUCAUACAUACUUCCAACAUAUGAACGAUUGUGGACGGUUUGAAUAAUUCGAUUAUUCUUAAUAAACUCAAUUGUUUUGGAAGUCAAAACAUGCAAAGUGAAACUAUAGUUAAACAAUUAACAUAAGACAAAACUUUUAAAUAAUACUCCUUUAUUUAAUCAUCAAAUGUCAGUUACAUUUAUAUAUUAUAAGUUUCCAAACUAUCUAAUCUAAACUAAUAUCAUCCUUCAGCCCAAUGCUCCUAGCGUGCUGCAAGUGCUUAACCCUGCUCAGUCCCUUCGUAAGCGGAUCUGCUGGGUUAUCUUCUGAUGAUAUCCUCUUAACCACGAGGUGUCCUUCUUCUACUCGAUGUCUAAUAAAGUGAUAUUUUCUGUCGAUAUGCCGAGAUCUACCAUGAUCCCUCGGUUCCUUGGUCAAGGCAACCACUCCUUCAUUAUCACAGAAAAUUUCCAUAGGAUCCUUAUGGCAGGCACAACUCCAAGGUCACUAAUGAAAUUCCUCAACCAUAUCGCCUCCUUUGAUGCUUCGCUCGCUGCAAUGUACUCUGAUUCGCACGUUGAAUCAGCUACAAUUUCCUGCUUGGAACUUUUCCAAGUCACUGCUCCUCCAUUAAGGGUAAAGAUCCAGCCCGACUGCGAACGGUAGUUGUCUCUGUCGGUCUGGAAGCUGGCGUCACUAUACCCUCGCACCUUUAAGUCAUCACUCCCUCCGAGGACUAGAAACCAUUCCUUGGUCCUCCGAAGGUACUUAAGGAUAUUCUUAACCGCAAUCCAAUGAGCUCUGCCAGGGUUCCCUUGAUAUCUACUGACCAUGCUCAAAGCAAAGGCCACAUCAGGGCGAGUACAAGUCAUAGCAUACAUGAUUGAGCCAACUGCGGAAGCGUAAGGUACUCGGCUCAUCUCAGCUAUCUCGGCUUCGGUACUCGGACUUUGAGUCUUACUCAACUUGGCAUUACUUUGUAUCAGUAGUUCUCCCUUCUUUUAGUUUUCCAUACUAAAACGUUUUAGUACCUUAUCUAAGUAAGUAUUCUGACUAAGUCCUAUUAGUCUCUUACUUCUUUCUCUCACUAUCCUUAUUCCCAAAAUAUAGGAAGCCUCUUCGAGGUCCUUCAUAGCGAAACACUUCCCGAGCUAGGACUUAACUUCCUGCAGAGUCGGGAUGUCGUUUCCCAUGCAUAGUAUUUCAUCGACAUACAAAACGAGGAAGCUAACUAUACUCCCACUGGCUUUGACAUAUACCCAUGAUUCAUCUUCGCUUCGUACAAAUCCAAACUCUUUGACUUUCUCAUCAAAGCAAAGAUUCCAUCUGCGAGAUGCUUGCUUAAGUCCAUAAAUGGACUUCUCAAGCUUGCACACUCUAUUAGGAUGCUUGGCAUCGACAAAACCCUAUGGCUGAGCCAUGUAAACAUCCUCAGCCAACUUCCCGUUAAGGAAAGCAGUCUUGACGUCCAUCUGCCAUAUCUCAUAAUCAUGAAAUGCAGUAAUGGCUAGCAUCACCCUAAUAGACUUUAUUUUCGCAACUGGUGAGAAGGUCUCAUCAUAGUCAACUCUGGGAGUUUGAGUAAAGCCCUUCGCCACCAAUCACGCCUUAUACGUGUGUACAUUCCCAUCCACACCGGUCUUCUUCUUCAAGAUCCAUUUGCACCCAACCGUCUUACGUACGGACACAUUUUCAACCAAAUUUCAAAUUUGGCUGUCAUACAUGGACUGAAUCUCGCUGUCCAUUGCCUCUUUGCAUUUCGCAGACUUUGGGCCUGCCAUGGCUUCCUUAUAGCUAUUAGGUUUAUCUAGAUUUAUUAGUGUACCAUCACUAAUAUACGUGUCCCCUUGAGUAGUAAUAUGAAAACCAUAAAACUGGGUUGAACUCUAACUCUUUUGGAACGUCUAAGAGGUAAGGACUCGUCAAUUGGUUCAACCGGAGUUUCCUCCUCGGGUUGAGCGCCAACGGUAGAGGUUCCUUCAUCACUCGACUCUUGAAUCUCUUCAAGAUCGAUCUUCCUCCCAUUGUCUCCUUGGUUUAUGAGUUCUCAUUCUCGGAAAACCCCUCUUCUCGCAACGAAGACAACAUUGCCACUCGGUCUAUAGAAGAGAUAUCCAAAGGAUUUCUGCAGGUAGCCAAUGAAAAUACCUCACACACUACAAGGUUCGAGCUUGUCGUGAGUGUCUUGUCUUACGAAAACCUCACAACCCCAAACCUUGAUAUGUACCAAAGAGGGAGCUUUCCCUGUCCACAUCUCGUGAGGUGUUUUGGCAACCUUCUUUGUAGAGACUCGGUUAAGGAUAUGGGCAGUAGUCUUGAUAUGUGCAUAAUUGGUUCAUAUUAAGUAUACAUUAUUAUUCAUUUAUUAGCUAAAUUAUUGCAUAUUAUGGACAAAAGGUACUUAAUAUUGUUUUUCAGUCCAAAGAUGAAGCUUGGAAGCGAAAGGAAGCGGGAGAAACAGUUAGAAGAUCGAGGAUGAAAUAAAGAAGAAAAACACUAAAAAUGGCACUGACUCGGCGAGUCAGAUCGACUAUUCGGCGAGUCCAAUCGAAGAAUCGAGAAGAUAAUGACUCGGGAUCCCAGAGAGUUAUCACAAUACGGGGAAUAUGAGAGGGACUCGACGAGUCACCACCUGACUCGACGAGUCGAUUCGUAUAUAUAAAGAUAAUUCCUUAGAUCGAUAGAGGAGAGUUCUGGAACGAUUCAGGAGAGUUUAGCUACGAUUGAGAAGGUAGAAAAACCCUAGAAGACGACGAAAGAAGCUAGAAUUCAAUCCCGGAGAGUAAUUGAGGCAAAAUUUCAUCAUUCCACUUAUUCUUUUGUUUUAUCAUUAUGGUUAAGCAAUUUGACUUUGUUUGUUUGCUGUUAUUUACUUCAAUUAUGAGCUAAAACCUUUAGACUUCUGUUUGGGGAUACAAAGUUGACAAUAUGGUUUGAUUGAUUGGUAGGAUUAAUUCUAAUUUGGUGAAUUUUUGUUAUUUUAGCUUGCUAAAGAACCUUGUGUGUGAAUAAUAAUUAAUUUUCUGUUAAUAGGAAGAUAAUUGAUUAGCAUGAACAUCUAUUGAUUAUUAACCUCAUAUGCUAUGUGAUCACUAUGCUAUAUGUCUAGGAUUAAUGAAUAUGAAACUAGAAUUAAUAAGAAAAUUGAGUAAAUCCAUGUGCAAGCUUGUAAGAUGACCAUCAAACAAGAAGUUAAUUAAAAGAAUAAAUUAGUUAACUAUUGCAAGUCUAACUUAACCCGAAUAAUUAAUCUAGUGAAUUUAAUUAAAUUAGACAAUUGGCCACUGUUUAAGUUAGUUUAUUUGCUAAGGAUUAGGGUAGUGAAUACGAAUCUAAUCACUUGAAUCGGUAACCAACGAAAGAAUUAAUCCAUUGCACCAUUACCUUGAAAUCAACCAUAGAGUCAACCAAGUUGAACUAAACAGAAGUUCCUUUCCAAUUAUUGAAUCUAGUUAAGUCUUUAUUUUCUAGUUCUUAAAUUAGUAAUAGUUAGUAAGUUUCUAGUCUUGUAAAACUAGAGAAAACCCCUACUUAUUAAUUAACUUAGAUAAAAUUAGUUUUUAAUUUUAAUUUGUCGUUCCCUGUGAUCGAUACCCUGCUUAUUUAGCUAUACCACAAUUGAUAGGUUCACUGCCUUUUGUGUGUUAUUUGAUAAUUAAAAGUAGUUUUAAAACUAAGUGAGUUUGCACACACCAAGUAUCUAAGGCAUACCCCCGGAAUGAGAUAGGUAUUGAAGCACGACUCAUCAUAGAAUGAACCAUGUCUAACAAGGUUCGAUUACGCCUUUCUACCACACCAUUCAACUGCGGUGUCCUAGGUGGCGUCAAUUGCGAAAUUAUUCCGCAUUCCUUGAGAUAGUCGUGGAGUUCAAGACUUAGGUACUCUCCUCCUCGAUCGGAUCGAAGUAUCUUGAUUUUCCUGCCCAAUUGAUUCUCCGCUUCAUUUUUGAACUCUUUGAAAUUUUCAAACGUUUCUGACUUGUGCUUGAUUAAGUAAAUAUACCCAUAUCUGCUAUAAUCAUCGGUAAAAGUCACGUAGAAGCGGUUCACAUCCUUUAUGGUGGAUCUAAAGGGCCCAUAUACAUCGGUAUGUAUGAGAUCCAAUAAACCCUCACCCAUCUCACAAGUGCCAGUGAAGGGUGACUUGGUCAUCUUUCCAAGUAAACAAGAUUCGCACGUGUCAUCUUCCCUAAGGUCGAAUGACUCCAACAAUCCAUCCUUUUGGAGUUGGGCUAUGCGCUUCUUGUUGACAUGUCCAAGAUGACAACGCAACAAACAUGCUUUAUCCAUACUAUUGGAAGAAUCCAUACACAACACAUCAUUUACUAGGUUAUCUACAACCAUAACAGUUUCAUAAAUUCCAUUACAAGGCAUUGCUUCAAAGAAUAAAACACCAUUUAGAUAAGCAUAAAUAGAACCAUUCAAAUUAUUAAACGAAUAUCUAAAUCCUUGUCUAAACAAACCAUGAAAUGAAAUGAUGUUUCUUGCCAGAUAUGGUGAGUAGCAACAAUUAUUUAAAUCUAAACCUAAUCCAUUACUAAGCACUAAAGAAUACACUCCAAUCUUGGUAACAGGCGACGAUCUUCUGUUUCCCAUGAUUUGAUUUAUUCUUCCAUGCUCCACAUCCCUAUUUCUUCUUAGUCCCUGCAAACCGGAACAAAUGUGGUAACCACAUCCUGUAUCAAGAACCCAAGAAAUAGCAUGAGAUGAAUCACUAGAUUUAAUUGUGUAAAUGCCUGCGAAAGACGGCUUGAUCUUCCCAUCCUUGAUGGCUUGCAGAUAUUCCGGGCAGCUUCUCUUCCAAUGCCCUAUUUUGUGGCAAUAGUGGCACUCUGCCUCCUUUGGGUUAGAGUUGGGCUUAGCAGGGCAAUCUUUGGUCCCACUAGAAGAGGAACCAUCUUGGAACUUUCCCUUGUGGUGGAUCUUUGACGGAGCCUUCCUCUUCUUCCCCCUUCUUUGCCCAAUAGCCAAAACAGGAGCAGCGGGUGGUGCGGGAGUCGGUGCAACAGACUUUUCCUUGAGGUUGCUCUCAGCAGUCCUUAGGAGUCCAUGGAGUUUGCUUAGGGUGACCUCUUCCUUGUUCAUGUGGUAGGUCAUCCUAAAUUGGUUGUAGCAUGAGGGAAAGUAGUGAAGAACAAUGUCGAUGGCCAAAUCCUCCCCAAAGUUAACAUUUAACUUGCAAAGACGAUCAACAUAUCUUUGCAUCUUUUGCAAGUGCACGGUUAACGAUUCUCCACUUCCCAUAUUAGCAGUGAUCAUGUUCGUAAUGAUCUCAUAGUGCUCUUGCCUCGCGCUUUGGUGGUACCUCUCCAUUAAGUCUUGAUGCAUUUCAUAGGGAUACAUGUCCUCAUGACUUUUGGAAUUCUUGGUUCAUUGUGGCUAUCAUGAUGCAAUGGAAUUUUGUUGCAUCACGUUCGUGGGUCUCAAAGACAGCCAUUUCUUCGGGAGUAGCGAUUUAUGGGUUGACCUUCUUGAGCUUUUCGUCGAGGACAUACUCUUUGUCCUCGUAGCAUGAAAUCGUGCGAAUGUAUCUUAUCCAUUCGCUAAAGUUCGAUCCAUCGAAAGUCACCUUUUGAUAAAGACUCAUUAGCGUGAAUGAGUUAACAGCAGCGUUGUUCGCGUUCGACAUCUACAAAUAGAAAAGACAAAGUUUGAUUAGAAUUGAAUCCCUAAUUAAACACCCAAAAUGAAAAAUUAGGGCUGGGACCCAACAACAUUAUUUACAUAUUAGAAAAGGGAUGUCGUAAUCCAACACGCAAAUAAUUUGGAGGUAAGUUAAUGACGAUUCACUAAUUCUUCACCAUGAAAAACAUAACCUUAAGUUUUAAUUGCAUUGAGAAUUCCUAGAUUUUCUUGGAGAUUCAUUGAACUUUUCAAUGGCAUGUUUAAAUCUCGAUAUGCCCCUCUUGUUUGUGACUAGGAUGCCGAGGAUCACAAAAUGGGUGCGAAUAACCAUGCAAAUCUACACGGUGCCUUCAUUGUAACAAUCACCUAUUUGAGGUGCCGGUAAACCACACACGCUCGAUUAACUUCUUAGCAAGGGUGCAAAGUGUAGUUUCAUGGGAUUGCAUCAAUUCACUUUUGCCUAAAGUAAUUAGGAUUGGGAAUUUGGAAAAACAUGUAGUUACUUUAUAUUUUAACAUUAUACUUUUAAUGAGGAGAGAGAGUUGCCCUAUCCUACCUGUUCGGCUAAUGACCCUCCACCAGUCAAGCAAGCGGUGGGUGUAAGUGUACACCCAUUAAGAGCCAUUUUAUAGGCAACAACCUUAUACCCACCUUAUAGAUCGGCUUCGUGAAUGAGGCCUACUAACGGUACGACUAGCAUUUUAAUUAUACUUAUAUAUUCAUUAAGCUUUUAAUAAUAUAAUAGUAUAGGGUUGAAUUUUAAACAUGUAAAACUCUAGGGUUGAAAUUUAAAUUCUUCAAAAUUAAACUUUUAAUCACAAAUUCAAAUUUCAAAACUUGAGGACAAAUUUUGAACUUUUCAAAACUAAAGGGAUCAAAUAACAAAUAAUUCAAAUUAAAUAAUUAAUUUCAUAAUUAUCUAUAUUUGACCAAAUCCAAUUUUAGUCAUUAGAUAAUUACCAAAUAAGUUUAAAUAGUCCAUAUUUAACAUAUAAAUAACCAAUAUUCAAAAGAUUUGAAAUUAUCUAUUGUUAUGUCAACGAUAAUCAUUUGAUUAAGUCAAAAUUCGGAUUUUAACAUUACAAAACAAUUUAGGUAUCAAACCCAAGACAAAACAACAACUAAAUCCCGAAAUAUCUUCUACCUGACGCUCGGACUCGUCGAGUCAGCUCUGAACUCGCCGAGUAGGGCCAACUCACCGAGUCCAGAUACUGACUCGCCGAGUAGGGUCAGGCAGGGUCCAAAAUAGUUAAGCAUCACAUACAAUUGAAACCAAUCAAGGCUCUGAUACCACUGAUGGGUUUGAGCCAUAAGCACUUUCCUAUGUGCACAUGCAAACCUUAAUGCUUGGAUCUAGGUUUCUCUAAUUGAACAUGCAAUGUAUCCAAGACUUUCAUUCAUAGAUCUAGUGUAAACAAACAAUUCAUAACAUAUGAAAUCAGAUCUAGAAGAAUACCUUGAGUUACUUACUUGAAACUUCUUAUUCUUGGAGCUUAGAGUCAUAAUUGUCACUCCUCUAAUGGCUUACAAACACCUACUAGCAAGAAGAUGAUUUCAGAGUGGGAGAGAGGUGAGAAAUCAACCCUAGGGUUUCCUCAAUCAUAGAGUGGCCGAUUUCCUCAACCCUAAGGAUCUAUUUAUACUAUGAGCUCCUAGGGUUUCACCCUAAACCCUAAUUAGAUAACUUAGCCUCAAAGUAAUCCAAAGAUCCUUCUAGAUAAUGGCUUGGACGAUUUUAAGAUAUCCGUAUCCUAAAAAUCNCCAUAAGGAUCAUAGCCUAAAACACAACUAUCACACAUUUGACAGUUUAUGCCCCUUUAUUCAAUUAAUCUCUUUAAGUCACUAAAUUAAUUCCUAAUUAAUUUAUGACUUAUAUCAAUCAAAUAAUAUUAUUAUUCCUUUAACAUAUUAUUCUUAUAAUACAUUAAUAAUAAUAAUAUAUCUUCUCUCUAUAUAAACCACCCUGUCGAGUUGCUAUGGUGAAGGCAACCCAAAAAGACCAUGCACAACCGGGUCAAGUACUUACCAAUUAUAGUUCAGCCUUAGACACUAAUCCAAUAGUAUUGGGCCCAUACUACUAAAAGCAUAAAAUCGAUACUCGAAUCGGUGAGAGUCUUGGAGAAUCUGAGAAGCUUAUGGGAAGGAGAAUUCUUGGUUAUGCCUUGAUCAUGGGAAUAAUUACUUGGCGGAAUGAGGAUGAGCAUGCAUGAGUGGGAUCAGGAUUUGGUCCCAGCCCCAGUGGUGAGCCAAUUGGUGGAAGGACUGCCAAGAUUUCAAGUUCGCCUUGGAUCUUUUGUAUCCAGCGGCAAGGGUUGAUUGUGCGAUUUAUUGUGCUUUGGGAUUUGAAACUAUCUCUUGAGAAUAGUUUAUAGUCGAUUUAGGGCAGCGGUUGCCCCAACUGCUAUUGAUUGAGCCGGUGAGAGUGUUAGGGUGCGAUAUCCUAAAUGAUAUGGAUUUCAGAACCGAGGACCAAAGAUUGAUUAGGGUACCUCAAUGUGAGAGGUUCAGGUCAGGUGAAUUUAUUGGAGGGUCUCGGGCAGAGACCCAAGAGUCUGGAUCAGCUUUUGAGAGGCCAACGGGGUCAGAUCCAAUGCAACGCUUGCAGAAACUGCGCGACGAAGUUUUGUUCCAAGGAUUUGAAUUGUUAAUGGGAUCAGAAUGAGGUGUUACAUCAUGUUCUCAGGGUAGUCGAGGUAUCACAGGAGAAGGUGGUCAUGAUUCCUUCAUAUGUUGGCGUAUAUGCUAUCUUCGUCCAUUUCCGGUGGAUAUUGUGUAAUUGUAACGCUUGGGAAUCAUGAUAAGUUGGAUCUCGGGUUAGCUUCCUACUAUUGUCUGGGCUAGAAAGGGUUGUCAGAUGCCUUUCAUCAUGUCGAGGAAUCUUUGAGAGAUAUUUAGAUGGAUGUAUCUCGCGGAGUGGAUUUCGCGUGUACCAUGAUUGCUUCAAAUCGUUGUUAGAAUAUGUUUAAUGAUAUGGGUUAACAUAGAUGUAGCAAGUUUGGCCACGUCUUCAGGGAUUACCCGUAGGGAGUAAGCCCGUUAUAUUUUCGUUGUGUUCAGGUGGACGACAAGAAGGUCGACUGUCUGACGGUCAGAGAGGAGCAGUGAGUACACCUGAUCCAGUCAUUUUCGGGGUUGGUCCAAGUGUUUGAGCGAGAGAGUCAUCUCUAGUUUUCAGUAGCCUUGGUAUUUAUGUUAGCAAGAGCCAUCAAGAUUUCCGGGGGAAGCAAGAGUUGUCGCUGAGGUUUUGGUUAGACUAUCCGUUCGUUGGACUCCGAGAUCUAAAUGUGUUGUCACUUUUAAGCAUUUCAAGUCAUUGAUGUAGUUGGGAUGCAAGAAGUAUUAGUUGGAUUUCAAUUAGUGUGCUGUUUGUGCAAGGUUAUCCAUGGUGUUCUAGCUUUGGCAAGCAUCGGUCGUCAGCAAGGUGAACAUUGGAACAUAAUGAGGAUUAGGAUUCCUUCAAUUUUUAUGUGCCACACGGAUUUAGUCGAAUCUAAGUGGGGGAGAAACAUUCAGAUAUCUAGGAUACAAGCGAGCGUGAGAUGAGGAUGCCUCUCACAUUCCUUUUUGGGAGGAAAGGCGGCCUUAGGGGCCGACUGAGUAACGGAUAUCGUGGUAUGGGAGUUCGAGAAACUCCCUAACAUUGGAACGCAUCUUUCUAACGUCAUAUUGAAGGCUUCAGGGGAGGGAACCAGGUUUUAUCCCAGUCAGUAUUUGAGUGCAGUUUAGGAGGAUAGACUGUGUGGGUGCUCAACAUUGAGAUGUGUAUGGACCGUCAGGCUGAAAGUGUUGUAAGACUACGGGGGAGCCGUAGCAUUCGCUAAUGAACGAAUAGUGUGGGAGGUGUUGUAAGAUUACAUGGUAGACGUAGCAUUCACGGGUUCUCUCGAGUGAUUUGGACUAGGGCAGGCUAGUACGCAGGGUUGUGGUGAGGAUCAGGACCAAAGGUGAUUGACCGAUUAGAUAUCCGGGGACGAGUUCGGGUGGUUAUGGGAAUUUAGGAUGGACCUGGUAGAGACUGAUGGGCUAAGGGUUGGACCUUGUGAUAUAGGAUCUUGUGGUCUAACAAUGCAUGUUUCUGUAGGGCUAUAGAUGGGUAGCCCUAUUAUUGGAUCUCAUAAGAACCAGGUGGUUGGACCAGGUGCGAGACUGGAAGUCUCAGGGAAUCAGCUAAGGGUGUUUAGUAAUUGGUUGAGUAAAGGAUGACAGGAAGACAUGGCACAAUAUGCAAAUGCCGAUUCGAGGAUCUUUGGAUAGGACCGUAGUAACAAAUUGGGUUUGGAUAGGAACCCGAAUCGGAAUUUGUGCGGGAUUUUGUUUCAGUGAGUUGGGAUGUGGGGAAUCUAUAUGCCAAGGGCAUCGAGGUCAGAAGUCUAGGGUGGUUAUCGAAUUGGUUUGAUGGUAGUUUAAGCCAUUAUGAUGUGUCUCGGGUGGCCCUAUCUGUAAUAGAGCCAUGACAGGUCGGAAUCAAGAAGCGGUGGGUUACAGGAGGUCGGGUAUGAUGUAAGACUAUAACUAUGCUGGUAGUAUCCACCUUUAUGCAUCAGAUUCAGUGCGACAAGUUGCCAACCUAUCUCGAUUGGAUGGAUCAAUGGAUUUUCAGAGAUAGGGCAGUUAUGGUUAGAUGAGGUAUCUGUCGGAGGUCGCAGGGGACUGCUGAGUGUGUUUUUGGCCCAGAAAUCGGGUAUGUGUGCGAUGUUCCGGGCAGUUAGCAGCCGGGUUGGGACUGGGGAGGUCCCCAGGUGUUCUCCAGGAAAGCAUCCAUGUGGCAGCAAGGGGAGCAGGAGCGACUUCAGUGAUUUGGGGUCGGUAUGUGGAAUUGCUUGUUAUUCGGUAGUCGUGGUUGGUCGGUGAUAUUGUUCUUUAGGAAGCAUCAAGGUAUUGCGAGUGGGAAGUUCUCUAUCUAGACUGGUUUCUUGGGACAUCAGUUCGAUGAUGAUUCAUGGUGGGUAGUUUGUCAGGGAGACAGGCCAUCUCGAGACUUUAGAUUUCAGGUGGGGCAGGUGUGAUCGGGUUGCAAGGAAUUUGUUGAUCUCUAUGUUCUAGAACCUUAUGAGGAUUGGUUUCAAUUGCCUUGAGUAGAUUGUGGUAUUAACGGGUUUGUGGCGGUGUUGUUCAGGUGGUCUGCUGUGUCAGGGACGAUGAUGCAUGAUUUCGAGGACAAAAUCUAAUUUAAGUAGGGGAGAGUUGUAACGCCCCGUUCUAAAAAGUAAUUAUUUAUGGAUUCUUGAGAUCAAGAGUAAGGGCGUUUUGGUCUUUAGGGGCAAUGAGGUUUCAUUCGAGAAGGUUUCGGACCAGGGUAUGUUACUAGAAGCGUAGGGAUUCUCACCACCUUUCCGUGGACAUAAAGUUCGUCGAGAACGGAUCUAGAAUGAAGGAGUUGUAUUACUUUGAAGAUAUUGGAAACUAUGACCCUUAUGGAGGAAAUAGACGAGAAAGUGGCAUACAUGCUUUUAGGACACGCGUGGCUACGCCCAGCGUAGCGAGUAUUUGGAUCGCGGGGUGUAAGGCGUACGCCCAGCGUACGGUAAAGUUCAUUAAAUCCUAAUAUGGGUUGAGCCACUAUAUAUAGAACAUAAUGGCUUCAACCCUAGCCCUCGUAUCAACCUCCCUAACCUCAGAAGAAACCCUAGAAUGUUCCAACCUUCAUUUUUAGAGAUCUUGGCCUUGAAAAGCUCAUCUUGGUGGUUUUUAGCUUGGAAGAGAAAGGAAGAAGAUUUAGAAGGAGGAAACUUGGAGGCUAGAGUUUGUAGAUCUAGGACAAGAGCUUCAUUUUGGACCUCUUCAAGGUAAAAAGCUUUGAGGUUGAUGAAUAAUCUCUUAGAUCUCUCUUGGUACAAUUUUAUGGACUUUUUGGUUCCAAGAAUGCAUCUUUAUGACUCUAGCACGUUUCUAAGUCCAGGGUUACACCCUUAGUAUCAUAUGAGUCCCUUAUGAAGUAAAGUUUUAACCUUUAGGGCUCAUUUGUGAUCAUGCAUGUGAUCCAACCACCUUUAUGAAAGUAUGAUGUUAUAUUUCAAGUUUGGGAACAUUUGGUGGGUUGAAUGCCAACAACUAACCAACUUUAUAGCUUAAGACAUCUUAAUGGACUUGGAUCUGUGAUUAUAGCACCUGGAUUGGAGUGUUAAGCACUUAAUAUGGAAAUGACUUAGCAGAGCACUACGCUGAGCGUACGUGCAGCUACGCCCAGUGUACCAUCAUCGAGCCUGUACGCUAAGCGUAAAUUGAAUUACGCUCCGCGUAAAGCUAUCUGCUAGAUCAUGAGCUUUGGGUCGUGGUUUUGGGGCAUGUUUGGGUAAUUGGGCCUUAGUGGGCCCUCAGAAAUCAUAUUAUAUGGGUCAAGGAAUAUAAUUUGGGCUUAGGGUGAGGCCAUUAAGGGAUUGGGCUCAAUGUAGCAAAUUGGGCCAUUAGUGGGUUGCUAGUGGGCUUGAGUGGCUUUCUAGUGUUGGACUUUUCAUGUUGUGGUUUUGGCCUUAGUCAUGGACCAGAUUGGGUUAAGGGUAAAAUGGUCAAUUUACCCUUAGAAGGAUAUUGUUUUGGAGCUAAGUGUUUGUGGCAUUGAUAGUUCGAGGCGCUAGAGGAGCAGCGGUGCGGGGAUUGUCAGAUAGCAGUCAGAAGGGUACCGACAGUGUUUCAGCAGUUCAAGGUGAGUCUUCUCACCAUACCCAUGGGUCUACGGCACCAAGGCCGGCCCAUUAUGUGUUUAUGAUAUAUGUGCAAUUAAUCUGUGUCUUGAUAUAUAUUGUGAUCGUGUGUUUUGCAUGAAGACCCCGGGGGGAGCCCGUGGCCUUGGGUGUAAGACCAUGUGGGGUUGCCCAUGGCAGCCCAAGUAAAGACCAUGUGGGGUAGCCCAUGGCCUUGGGUGUAAGACCAUGUGGGAUAGCCCACGGUAGUCCAAGUAAAGACCAUGUGGGGUAGUCUAUGGCAUUGGAUGUAAGACCAUGUGUGGUAGCCCAUGGUAGUCCUAGGUAAAGUCCAUGUGGGGUAGCCCAUGGCACUCUUGCUGGUCCUUUGUAUGCAUGGCCUAUGUGAUCUGUUAUUAUGAUAUGUGUAUGUGUGGUAUGCUCUAGGAAACUCAUUAAGCUUCGUGCUUACAGGUUUUGUUUAAUGUUUCAGGUAUCGUCGUUUUGGAAAGAAAGGGCUUGGAUUGAUUGCAGUGCACACAAAUAUGAUUUCCGCAAUGAAUGAUUUUGGGAUGAACUCUGAUAAAUGUUUUACUUAAUGAUGAUUUGAAAUGUUAGGAAUAAAUGAUAAUUAUUUUUGGGUUAUAUUAGAAAUGAAAUUUUUACCCUUGAUUUUUGGGUCGUUACAAGUUGUAACUAGCAUUACAUCAAGUUGGCACAUUGUUGAUGUCUCAAAGGUUCAUCCUCACUCCAUCAACUUCCUAGCCUCCCCUGGAGAACUCAAAGUGGUUCAAAGGUUGUUACCACUUCUUUCUUCUAUUGUUGUGUUUUAAAUCUUUCCUCUAGAUGCAAGAUGAUCCUUGGUGGGUGAUAAAAUGUAUAUAUUAUUUUAUAAAACUCAAGUCUUCCAUUUGCCAUUAUUUGUAGUUUUUGAAACUAUUUUUUUAAAUAAAACCCAACAAAACUAUAACUUAAAAUUUAGAUAAUACCUAACAAACUAGCUAAUAGACAUUAAAUAAAUGAAUUAUUGUCAACUUAAUAGUUAGAUAAUACUUGCAAACUAACUAAUAGAAAAUGAUUUUAAUAAUAUUAGUUCAUAAUCUAACUAAUAAACCAAAUGUCUUUUAGCCCAACGGUAUAAGGUGUUGUUAUUUCUCUUUAAAGUUGAGGGUUCAAGUCUCAUCGUCAACAUUGGUAGAAUCAGGGAGUAGUUUAGGUGUAGAUUAAAUUUUCUUUUAAAUAAAAAGAUAUUCUGACUGAUAAAUAUCAAAUAACAUAAAAACAGGUAUAAAAAGAUAUUCUAACUAAGGUACUGUUUAUAGAGUUGGUUUGAUUGACACAGGUUGGUUUAUUCCACCACCUCAAAUCGACAACUUUAAUCUUUUUACCUCUGCCACUAGCGUGGCGUUUCGCUGAUGUUCACCGAUUUUGUAACGCAAUCAUAGUAGAAUUGGUGUCGCCGUAUCUUAUUCAUUAACAUAAUCGACUCCCUUCUACCCUCAAUUCAUCAUCUUCCUGAAAACCUCAUUUUGUGAUUCAUACACAUUACUAUCAUUGGCCCCUAUAAAUAUUUUCGCUAGCGACUCCAACACCACUUCCCACUUAUCCCUCCCACCAAUUCUAGGUAAGGUUUUUCCUUUCUUGCUCUAAAAAUCGAUUGUUAAUUCAUAGAUUUUUUUUAGCUCUGAAGCUUUGUUCUUCCUUUGGAUUUAUGUGGGUUUUUGGUUAAUUCAGUAAGGGUGACAAUAUUAUGUAUUAUUAUAAUCCCGGUUUCAUCAAAAAUAUACUAUCAUUGUCCCCUAUAAAUCUUUUCACUAGCGACCCCGUUACCACCUCUCACCGAUUCUAGGUAAGGUUUUUUCUUUCUUGCUCUAAAAAUUGAUUGUCAAUUCAUAGAUUUUUUUUAUUUAUUUAUGGAGUUGUGCUCUUCCUUUGGAUUUGUGUGGGUUUUUGGUCAAUUUGAUGAGGGUGACAACUGUCGUGUGUUAUUGUUAUCCCAAUUUCAUCAAAAAAAAAUAGAAUAUGAUAGAGAAGAAAGAUAAAUAAUAAUCCCUCAUAUGCAAAUAUAUAUUUGUAACUCCCGCAGAUUCAGGCUAGUCAAUUUAGAGACAAUAAGCGCAAAAAAUGACUUUUUGAUAGAAUAAAUGACUUUUUGAUAGAAUAUUAUUUAGAUCAAAUAAGCUUAACCAUGUUAUAAUGUAUGUCCAUACGUAUAAAGAACGCUGAAAUAUGAGUUAUAACGAAGAAGUUAUGACCUGUUGAAGUUUUACGGCAAAACUGACACGACACCGAGAAUCGUAAAUAGUGAGUUUGCGAUAAAAUACUUUUUAUACUUAGCGGUCUAAAUAAAAGUCAUAGUAUACGUUAAACCGAGAACGUGCAUAAAAAGAACGUCUAAAUCUGUCUUCGUAUGAGGAAGUUAUGAUUUUUCUAAGAUUUAGCAUAGCAGUGCAUAACCCGGAAUUCGAAUUUUAGAUCGACUGAAUUUUAGCUGACACAAUCUAAACGAGAAUCAAAGUUCUCGUUAAUAAUAACUCAAUGAUAAAAAUACAGAUGAAAACGGGCGUCAGAUGACUAAGUUAUGAAUUUUUAACGGAUUUUAACUGUCUAAGUCUGUUAAAAUAUAACUUUAAAAAUAAAUUCAAAAUUAGCCGACAGAGUCUAAAUGAAAGUUGUAGAUCAUUUUCUGCCUACGCGUGGAUAUGAAGAUCAUCAAAAACGGAGCACGUAUACGAAAGCUACUGAUUUUAGAAGAUAAUUAGCUUUCAGAAUAAUCUGCGAGUGGCACUUGGCACAAUCCUAACUAUUGCUUCCUCCCCAUGCCUUGCUACCAGAUGGUGACACUUGGCACUCAACUAGACAAUUUUGAGGCUCAGAACUCGCCGAGUUGGGCCAUUUCUCAGCUUAUAAAUACAGGCGCAAAUCUUCCAUUUCCUUCACACUUCUCUUAUUCUUUCUCUCUCAAACAUCUCUGUAAACCCCUCCUAAGCUUUAGUACUUCCCGAGUUCUAAGAGGCGAAUCUUGAAGCACCAGAAGGAUCCAAGAAAAAGAGCUUUCGGCUCGGAAGUUCUGCCCCUACAGAGCCUGGUUCCUAUCCAAACCUCCUAGUAAGUGAGUUAUUCUUAACCUACUUUAAGUAUAGCUUAUGUUUGAGUUCAAUAUCAUUAUUAUGAACUUAUAAACAAUAUUUGUGAGUAUUAUAAAAUAUAGAAAGNAUAUAUAUAUUAUAAAAUAUAAUAUACAAAGUGUUAUUAUAAUAUCUUUUAACUACUCGCGGUAUGGGGAAUCUGGUUUGAAGGGCCGCAUAGGGUUGUUGGAUUUUAGAAGUGCUAUAAUGCCAAAAUGGUCCUGCCCUCCUGUGUUUCAUGUUGUGCGGGCAUCCUACAAAACCGGGCAGUGUGUCCCUUCUUUUUGCAAUUGUUGGAGUACAUUUCUCGACAGGCUCCGGUGUGAUGGACGUUACAAUUGCUGCAUUUCGGUAGGUAACCGACAUAUUGUAUUAAUGGUGUUGCAGGGGUAAUGGCGGUACGGACGACAACGAUUUGUUGUUUCUUGGCGGUCUAUCUCUUCCUCUAAGGAGUGUAGGUGGUUCGUAUUGUUUUCCUGAUCUGCUAGUAGGCGUAGCAUCUGUAUGGCGUCCUUCUUGUUCGUAGAUGUGUUGAAUUUUGUAAUGUCAUGUUCCGAGAUUUGCCACUGAUCUCCAUUACUUCGUGACAGAGAGUCUAAACCCAAAUGUCCGAGUGGGCCUUUCAUGGUACGAUCAGGGGUAGUGUUCAAUUUGUAGGUGUUAGGGUCCGGAGCAUGGUGUAGUGGGUGUAUGUAUAUUGUGGUGAUGUAUCUUGGAAUGAUAGAGGUGAAAGGGUCUUAUGCCUACUCCUGGUAAGUUAAGUUUCAUUAAUGAUCUCACUGAUGCCCUUCUCUUCAUGUGAUCCCUUCUCAAGAUCCUCUUCAUGAACUCCUUUUGGUUCUUCUUCAAUUCAUAUGUUGAUUGUUUUGGUAGCGUUGCAGUGUCUAGAUAUGUCGUUGGUGCGAGAAUAGGGGUCUAUAAAGAAUCUAUGAGGUUAAUAGAAGCACUUUCAAUGAAAAUUUUAUGACGUGAUCCUUACCUGGUCCUCUUAUAAUCAUGUAGUGUAUACAAGAUGUAUAUAACAAAGAUCGAAUAGACCUUCGAAUAAGUGGUUCCACUCUAAGCCCACGACCAAACAAUGAACAGGAUUUAAAGUGGAAUCACAAAUUCUAAGUCUAUUAAAUCUUAAUUGUAUAUCACUCUAAUGUAUACACUAACAAAUUAUAGACCUACCAGUAAGGAUCUUUAGUUUUCACAUCAAUUAUCUAUAGUAUCAUAAAACACUCCUAUAGUAUUUUAAUUUUUUUUGUUUUAGAGCUUCUUGGUAUAUAUACAGUCGGUAAGUUUUAGAUUUGUUGCCCACCACGACUAUUCACAGGCAUAUGCUAGUCACCUCUCGGUUAAAUAUAGUUGAUCAGGCUAUAUUCAUCCAAGACCUGAUUACAUUUACCAAGGUUUACUCAUAGUGUCCAACUUAUCUUAAUACUUUUGUUUUAUUCUCAUUAUGACACUGUUCUAGUAUGUAUGUGUGUCUGUAUAAUUCUAUAAAUAUUAUUAUAUUUAAAAUUAUAACUCUUGGUCAGAGUAUUUUAGCCCCAUUGUAUUUAUAGUUGUAUAUCUUAUAUGGUUUGAUACAGUUAGUUCAUUAUAAACAAUGCUCUAAUACAAAUCUGUCACACCCUCAAACCGGAACGGUGGAAACGUCCGGGGGUGGAUGACAUCAUGUACAUUAUCAUAACAAUUGAAUAGUAGUAAUCAAAGAAACACAACCAUCAUAUUGAAAAUACAUAAUUUACAUUGUGUUCGAAUCAUUGUUUGUUUGACACCAAAACUAUAGCCAAAAACUAAGAUGUGACGCUACUAUACUCCGUCUUCUCGAAACUUGUAUGGGUACCUGUCUACUAAUUUCCUGAGAAUACAAGUGGUUUGAAAAAGUGUCAAAAUUUAAGUUGGUGAGUUAGUGUUUUCUUCCAAAAAAUCCAAUAUUUUCUUUGUAUAAGUGUUGUAAUCUUAGUACCUUAAGACCAAAAUGUAUAAGUUUCUUAUGCUUAAAAUUUUUAAUAUGGAGUUCUAAUUUAUGUAAGUGGUGUGACCCAUACUGGUACCUCCUAUGAUCAGUUAGUGUAUACAAGUUAUAUAUAAUCAAGAUCGAACGGACAGUCGGAUGAGUGAUUCUGCCCUAAGCCCACAACCAAACAAGGAACAGGAUCUAAGGCGGAAUCAUACAUUCUCAUGCCUAUAGGAUCAUAAUUAUAUAUAACCCUGACGUAUAUGCUAAGUAAUCACAAAGUUACCAAUAAUGGUCAUUUCAGAAGUGUAAGUUGCACUGUACUAGAAUAAUAGAGUACUACAAUUGUAUUUGUAUGCAACCCUUUUAAAUGUAUGUUUCUAGGAAUGUAAAUUGUGUUUUAAUGGAAAAUCAUGUAAUGUAGUUUUAUUACUAAGUAAAACUAGUUGAAGAUGUGUUUGCCCCGUAAAAUAAAUGUAAAGUUAGUAACCCUUUAAGACUGUUUGAAAAAAUAUAUUACUCCGUAAAUGUGUCGUCGUUUUCUCCAUGUGAGUUCCUAUAACCAUACUAUGACCCAGUCGGUCUGAUACGACGUUCUUCAGGCGUCAAAAUAUUAACGAUAUUUGUCACCCCAGACUUAUCGGUCAAACUAUAGCUAAUAGUCAGGGUGUGGGAUUGUCGGUACCAUAUAGAUCGAUACACAAAUAUCUCGCUCUCCCUACAAGAGACUCUGCUUAUAAGUUAGGACUUUUGUUAGUACUUAGGUAAGUACGUGAAGACGUGUCUCACAAUUUUAUUGCUUAACGAGUUUACGAGUAAUGAAAUGAAAAACCCAUUAGCAAAUGAAAAUGUAAAACCAUUUAGUAAAUGAAAAUGUAACUUUUCCAUAGAAAUUUCUGAGUGUAUAAAUAUUGUAAAAUGACCCAUAAACUAUACCUUUUAUAGUUUUUAUUGUUUGUUCUAUUGAAAUGAAAAACCUUUGUAUUUUAACAGCUUUGUAUGAAGAGUUUAUAAGUUAGGUAGUAACGUUAUUUAACAUUUUUGCGUAAAGUGUACAUAAAGUAUAAGAAAACAUAGUAAGAGAUCUGUAUAUUUACACAAGUAUUCGUGUGUUUUUACUUGUAUUCUUCCCUAAAACAUAGAAAAACCUUGAAAAAUGUGGGGGUAUGAACUCACCUCAACUGUGAUUGCGGUUAGAUGACGAGGUAAAAAUGGUGAUCUUCGAGUUAGAACGCUAGAAGGUAGUUGUAUCCUAAUCGUUAUAAACACAUAAUGAUAUGUGUAAAUUAAAUGAACUAGCAUGGGAUUGUGGUUGUAUAAGACUAGGUUAUAAGAAAUGCUCACCAAGAUUCUAAAGAACAACUUUAAAGAAAUAGACUUCCUGAGAUUGUUUUGAACUUGAGGUUGAAAGGAAAAUGGUUUGUGUUCUGAGAGAUUAUGAAGUGAAGUUUGUUUACUGUAAAUGAGGGUUCAAAGGAUCUUAAUUCAUGGCUUAUAUAUGAAGAAGUAAGAUAAGGUGAUGUUAUAUAUACAUAGGUAAGUGUAAUCUAUCACAUUGGGAAGAGUAUCAACCAAUCAAGUUGUAACACCGGAGUCCAGGAAACCUAGAAAGGAAAAAAAACCCUAAGUCAAGAAGAACUCACCGAGCCCAGGGACGAACUCGAUGAGUAGGAGCGGAUUUUGGGACGCGGGUAAAGUGACCUACUCCACGAGUUGGAGGACCAACACGGCGAGUUGGUCUGGGUUUGGUAAAACCUAAAUCCAGGUCGUGUACCCUAUUUAAGCAUCUUAUUCUCCUCCCAUGCAGCCCCUAUUGUGUCCCUUAGUCCAGAAAGCCCUAACUCAUGACCCUUGAGCUUUGAUGAGUGUGUGAGAUAUUUUUAAGAGUGUUUGUGUGAUCUUGGAGCUAGAAGAAGAAGAAGAAGAAGCUAGAAGGUUCAAGGAAGCAGCAGAUCCAGGGUUCAAGCUCCAUUUCCAAUCCCUUUAAGGUAUAAAGUUGCUUCCUUUACUUCCCUAUUUCUAGAAAUAUCUCUCCUUGUUUUAGUUUAGGGCCAUCUUUUAGCAAUUUAGUGAACCUUUUUUAGUAUGGCAUGUGAUCGGAAUUUGUAACUUCAGAUCCAGAUCCCUUUCAGCCCCUAUAGCUAAAAAGUUCACGAAUUUAUCAUGCUUUAACCCUUCCCUUUGGCCUAGACUUUAUUUUAGACUUGGAAAUGGUGUUUUUGGCUCAUAACACCUUGCAUGCAUGUAAAGUUUCUAAGUUUACGUGUAAAAUCUACCCUAGGAGGUCAGAUCUAUGUUUUAGAAGCGUUAUCUCGACUGAAAUCGACUGUAUGGACUUGGAAUUUGGGGGACUCGACAAGUAGUUCAUAAGACUCGGCGAGUCGAGUAAUGGUUACCCAACCUUUUAUGUUUCGGAGCAAUCUGGUUGGGUCUAGAAGAGGACUCAACAAGAUGGGAGUGAAUAUGGACUUGAAGAUCACAGAACUCGAUGAGUUCAAGGAUAAACUCGGCGAGUUCAAGGCAAUGUCCCGACUGAUAUAAAGAAGAACUCGACGAGUUCAAGGAAGAACUCGGUGAGUCAAGGGCUAAACGUUCCAGCUUAUAUGAAGCAGGACUCGAUGAGUUUAAGGAUGAACUUGGCGAUUCAUGAGCAAAAAGGCCCUAAUUUUGCAUGAGGAAGAAGUCGCCGAGUUCCUGAAAGACUUGACGAGUAGGAUCGAAGUUCCAGUAUUUUGUGGAUUAUGGAACUCGAUGAGUUGUUGGACCAACUCGGUGAGUUGAGUCAACCAGAUGUUGACUUUGACCAGAUUGUUUGCCUUGACUUUAGCUUUGACCUGAGUUGACCCUGGAAAGGGUUAUGAGCAUGAAAUGGUAAUUAAGGAAGGAUGUUAUAUGUAGGAGUUUGAGUUGUAAGAGGAGUUGAUCCCCGCACCGAGGACAGUUCAGAUACUACACGACAUUGAGGUGUGUUACCUUCCAGUAGAAGUGGGUCUAAGGAACCAAGGUCGGCCCACUAGUAAGAGUUAUAGUAGAGACAAUUGUCUUCGUGAUAAUUGUCUGGUAUGUUAUCAAUUAUGAUUAUGUGCUAGCCUGAUAUGAUGUUAUGUGGUAGUAGGUAGUGGGGGGAAUAGUCCUCGUGUUACAAUAGUAGGGACCGAAGGGUAGGUCGGGCACCCUAGAUAUGCUUGACAGUAUGUUUAUGCUAUGUUAUUAUGUGGUAGUAUAAGUGUUGAAAUAGUCCCCGUAGCCGGUUGAGAUAAACCGGAGGGUAGGUCGGCACCCCAGAAUUGCUAGACAGGAUAGGUUGGCACCCCCAGAAUUGUCAGAAGGGGUAGGUUGGCACCCUAGAAUUGCUAGAAAGGGUAGGUCGGCACCUGAGAAUUGCUAGACAGGGUAGGUCGGCACCCCAGAAUUGCUAGACAGGGUAGGUCAGAACCCCAUAAUUGCCUGACAAGGAAAGACGGGCACCCCAGAAUUGCCCAGCAGUAUGUUAGUUAUGUGAUAUGUGAUAUGAUGGGGGAACUCACUAAGCUUUGUGCUUACACUUUUCACUUUUGGUUUUAGGUACUUCGUUUUCAAAGAAAAGGAGCCGACGAUCACAGCGCAUCACACUAUGUUUUCUGCACAUGAGAUCUUUAGGAUUACACUCUGAUAUUAUUUUAUGAUUACAUGUUUGACUAUUUACACUUUGGUUUUGACAUGAGAUGUUAUUAUGGAUGUUUUUUUUACUAAUUGGUUUUAUGAAUUGUUAAACAAAACACAUAAUUUUUGGCCUUAUAUUUUGGGAUGUUACAAGUUGGUAUCAGAGCCUUGGUUUAAGGGAUUCAGAAAGACUCUCGGGUGUGUCUGGACUCAAACUGAGGACUUGGUAUAAAAAUUUUCGAAAGAAAACUCAUUUUAUAAAAAGAAGUUUGAAAUGGAUUUGAAAAAGAGAAAAGAACAAGGUGUUUGAUGUGUGCAAUUAGCCGAGCUCAAGUAAGUUUUCCCCAAGAUACCCAUACAUGUUAUGUUAUGAUAUGAUACGAUUAUGAGAACUGCAUGCUAGAUUAGGGCUAAUGAAACAUCCCAAAUAUACGGCCCAAAAUUUUCGUUUUAAAACUUAUAAAAAAACUAUAAAUCAUCCAUCAAUCACAAAGAAAAUCAAGAAGCAUGUAUAUUAAAACAUCAUAUCAAAUACUGUAUCAAAAUCAUAUGAGAUAAAUAUCAGAUUCCAAACUCCCUGGCUGAAACUAUGGUGUCUGCUAUGUGAUCAUCCCGAGCCCUUCCCCUUGCUAGUGGAAGUACCUAAAACCAAAACUGAAAAUUGUAAGCACGAAGCUUAGUGAGUCUCCCCAAAAUACCAUAUACCAUACACAUAACAUGCAACUAGGAGAUACGAGCCCCGCCCACUCUCAUGGAGAUUCGGGCCCCACCCACACUCUGUUGUCUAACAUGUAUACAAGUAUCAUAUAGACAACAAGUAUAUCUAUCCCUAUCAAACAGUCACAUAACUAUACUCAGAUAAUACUAUGAGAUUUGGGCCCCACCCACACUCGGCUGCUAUGAAAUUCAGGCCCCACCCAUACACUCCACUACUAAAAUAUCACAUAUACGGGGUGGCCUUUGUGCCUUCGACCCGUUCCUUCUGAAAGGAAACUCACCUCUCAAACUGGAUGUUGAACUCGUGCAUGAGGAAUCUCUACUAGCUGCUCCCACGACCCCCUAGUUAACUUUAUACAAUAAUAUUUAUUUCGUAACUGAAAGGGUAAACUGACCAUUUUACCACUGGUUAAAGUCAAUGUUCUGGUCAAAGUCAACAUCCUAAGUUGACCAACUCGUCGAGUCAACCUUUCAACUCAUUGAGCUCUUAAACUCUAAAAUCCUGAAAUCAUGACUCAACUCGCCGAGUCUUAUCGAGUUGGUCAUAGUCGCGACUUGGCAAAUCAACUCAUUGAGUCACUCUACAAACUCGUCGAGUUUUACUAUAAACUAGAAUCGGGACAACAGGACUUGACUCGUUGAGUUCCCCUAUAGACUCGAUGAGUCCCUCUGUCUGUUUGGCCAUCUUAACAGAUUAAGCCCCUAUUCUCUAGAUCCAAGGUCCACACUUCGCUUGAACCUUGAAAAUGUCCUUAUUAAGGGUAAAGUUUCUUACUUUACCCAUUAAUUCCACUUCUUAGAGGGUUUAGUUCAAACCCUAAUUCCUUGGGACCUAGAACUUGGUCCUUAAGUCCUCCAUACACCAAACUCAAGUUUACAACCUCAGAUCCAAACCCCUAACGCCACUUGGACACGUAAAGUCUCGAGCUUGCUUCCAUGCAUGGCCUUUUAGGGCUAAAAAGGCCAUAUAAAUGAUCAUAAAGUUGCAUGGGCUCCCAUGGUCAUAAAUUUUGCACCUUUAUGCCAUGGAACCCCUCCUAGAUCCCAAAUCUGAACCAUGUGUCACUUGAGGCGUCCAAAACCCAAAGAUUAAGACUCUUGAACCAAAAUCAUCAUAAAAAGGAAAUAACUAGAUCUAAGAGAAGAAUGAUCAAGUUAGAGACUUGAUUACCAAAACGUCCAACAAAUGGAUUGUAGCUUCUGGAUCUAUUCCUUCCCUCUUGAGCUCUCUAUCUUCUUCUCCUUCUACAAGCUUCACAAUGCACAAAAUUCACUCAAAAUGGCUCACACACUCAAGAAAAGUUUUAGGGUUUCGUGGACUAGGGUUUGGGACAAGGAGGCUAUGAAUGAGGCCAAUGGGUGGAGGUUAUGAUGCUUAAAUAGGGUGCAAAACCCUGAAAUUAGGUUUUCACUCUGGAUGAGCUACUCGUCAAGUUGGGGGUAACGACUCGCCGAGUAAGUAACUUUAACCCCGCUCAUAAACUUCCCUUUACUCGAAGAGUUAGGUCCACCAACUCGUCGAGUCCUUCUUUCAAAAUGAAUAUAUAACUGAAUUAAAUGCGUACCAGGAAAUGGGCGUUACAGCUAAGGAUCUAGGAAGGAUGCCUUAUAUGCCUACUAUAUGUCCUUGUAGAUCUGCAUGCUAGUACUGAUCAGUUAGUGAUAUGAUAGUCUGUUUAGGUUAUGCCUGAUUUUAUGAGCCUUUGAAUUACAUGCUAGUAUAGAUUCCUAAUAAGAGGAUAGAAUGGCUUGUUUGGUUUGAUUUUAUGUUGUCUGAAUGCUGCUUGCUUUGUGCUUUGUGGGACUUCGAGUGAUGGGAGUUAAUUACUAGAUGAAUACGUUAAGUCACAUGUGACUAGGGUUGAAUAAUCUCAGAGUGUUGGAUUUGACCCUAUUGUGCAGCUCUCGUCUGAGUCUAACCGUUGUAGGGAUGAGUCCUUUACGCAAAGGAUUAUCUGAGCCUUGUCACAUGUGAUGGUAUUCAUGUAGUGGUUAAUUGGCAUCAUGAAGAGUCUUUCAGCAGCUGAGGACAGGGUGGGUUCAGGAAUCUAGGAAAGCCUAGGAUGAGUUUACUGUUGGGAACAGUGUUAGUAGAAAGUAACUUGGAGGAUUCGGGAUGAUUGAUGAGGAAAGUAUGGAUAGGUGUGGAAGGUGGUAUUGGGCCCGUACUACUGAAAGCACAUGAUCCAUAAUCGAAUUGAUGAGAGUCUUGGAGAAUUUGAGAAGCUUCGGGAAGGAGUUUAUGACCCAGUUUGGGGACAGAGGAUGUUCUAAAUGCUGCAGCUCAGUCAUUGGCAAGUGAGCAAGUAAGUGUGAUAGGGUGUCAGACCCUGUAGGAUAUGACUUCUAAGUCCGAGGAUGCGAAAUCGAUUUGGCACUUUGAGAGGAUAGGGUCAUGUCAGGUGCAUAUAGUAGGGGGUCUUGGGGAGAGACCCAAUACUUCUGAUCAUCGGGUGAAAGGCCAGGGAGUUUCACAAUCCAGGAGUUAGGCUGCCACAAGUGUAGCGGGGGUUAGUCAUGUCAGAAGAAGGAGUCAGUCCCUAUAGUUUCAGACAAGAGAAGUCAGAACUCUCGCAGGCGAUGCUGCAGGUAUGUAACCUUGCCUUCUUUUAGUUUUAUUUUCACAUUGUUGUGGGAAUUAUGUUGUGGUUUGGGAUACUAUAGUAGGAUGAGUAAGUGUAUCCCUAGUUUAUCUCUUUACUCCUGUUAGGUUAGAUCAUUAAAUAUCAUCAUAUGCCAAUUGCAUGCUGUGAAUUACUAGUGGUUAGUGUAAUAUCGUUCUCCUUUUGCUAGUUUGCGGUGCUCAGUGUUCUCUCGGUUCAUAGUACAGACUUGUCACAGGGCAGUAAGGGGCUCAUUUGGAGCCCAAAGCCUAUGAACCCUUAGAGUCCUUCGGGAAGGAGAAUCCUAUUGUUAGUUCAUGUCAUCAAGAUUGGAAGGGAGUUUUGCACCAUGUCCUCGGAAUGAUCGAGGUAUCUCGGGAGGAGGUGAUCAGGAAUCCUUCAGAUGACUAUGGGUGUGUAUUUUCUGCUAGUCCUAGGUGGAUGUUAGGAAUAUGUAUCGCUCUGGAAAUUAUGAGUGAGUUUGGAUAAGUCAGAUCUCGGUUUGGUUCUCUACUAUUUUCUGGGUUAUCAAGGAUUUUUAUAUGCAAUCCUGCAUGCCGAAAAGUCAUUGGUGAACCUGCAAAGGGACAUACCUUGCGAGUGGGUUCUACGUGUACCGUUAUCCUUCCGAAUUCUUAUCGGAAUAUGUGCAAGAGUAUUAUUUGCAGGAUAUUUGGUCAGGGUUGGACUGAUAGUUAUCCAGUGAAGUCAGAGUUCAGUGGUUCCAUCAUUGUUCGGGUAUGGUUGACAAGUGUCUAUGGAAGAACCUUGUAGUUUGAGGCACUACCAUUGCUAGGAAAGGACUGGUAGCAUGAAUAUGGUAGUGUCAGUUGUGGGUGUUAGAUGCAUAAACGGUUGAUCGUUGGAUGGUCAUGAGAAUCGCAUUUUCGCAUGGGUUGUGUUCGGUAGAGCUAAGUGGUGCUGCAAGAUUGGAAGUAGGAAUGAGGAUUUAUCAACCAGGGUAAAGAUUAAGACCUCUAGUUGUCAGCAGGGGAGGUGGACGGAGGUGUCGAACCCGACCAAAUUUCAAGAGUACUCUUCAAGAUUUUAGAGGAUGGGCGAUCUCAGUGUUUAACCGGUGAUUGAUUGCUAGCAUUGGUAAGCACAGGUUGUCAUCAGUGGAUUAUUAAGAAGCAAGAAGGAUUAGAAAUCCUUCAAUUCUUAUGUGUUGUGAAGACUUGGUCGAAUCUAAGUGGGGGAGAAUCAAUCAGGUACCCAGGAGAAGAAAUGGGUAUGGAACUAGGAUGAGUUUUGCGUCCCUGUCAGAGGGGGAGGGGGUCGAGUAACCAUCUAGGUUGAGGAAUUGUGGGAGUUGGGAGCUCAGGAAAUGUCCCAACAUUUGGUCUAUGUUUUCCCUUGGCAUCGGAUAGCAGGCCUCGGGAAACUGGUCAGGGAUUUCAGACAGGACAUGAGUUCAGAUUAGGAUAUUAGAUUGUGUAUGUAUGCUCGACCUUAGGUGCGUUCAGAUUAGUAAUCAAUGGUAAGAACAUGGUUAGUGGUGGAGUUAGCGUGGAAAGUGAUAUAAGACUGUGGGUGUAGCCGUAGCAUUCACAAGGUUCUCAUGUAGUGUUGGAGGUGUUGUAAGUCUGUGGGUAUAGCUAUAGCAUUCACAAGGUUCUCAGACAGCGUUAGAGUGUUGUAAGUCUGCGGGUGUAGCCGUAGCAUUCACAAGAUUGGAAGAUAGUGCUAGAGUGUUGUAAGUUUGUGGUUGUAAUCGUAGCAUUCACGAGGUUGUAAGAUAAUGCUAGAGUGUUGUAAGGCUGCAGGUGUAGUCGUAGCAUUCACAAGGUUAGAAGAUAGUGCUAGAGUGUUGUAAGACUACAGGUGUAGCCGUAGCGUUCACAAGGUUUCCAGUUAGUGUUGGAGGUGUUGUAAGUCUGCGGGUGUAGCCAUAACAUUCAUAAAGUUGUUAGAUAGCGUUAGAGCGUUGUAAGUCGUGGGGGUAGCCGUAGUUUUCACUAGUUUGAUAGAUAAUAUGGGAGUGAUGUUAGAUCGCGAGAAGUACAGUAGUACCACCAGUUCGGGUGCAGUAGUGAGGAUAUGGAAAUCCACAGAUUGGGUUACGGAAUUACCCUGAUGGGUUAGAACUGGUUGAGCCAACGAUAAGACCGUGGGGAUGCCACGACAGUCAUGGGAUCAAGGGAACAAUAGUCCGCAUAAGGUUAAUUAUGAUAUAAUGCUAUCUUCAGUCAUGUAGCAAUCACUUUUAGCCUUGGAUGUGGUGACAUCGGAAUUUGACGUAUGGAUCGAUCAGUCGGAUCGGGAGGUCGUUAGGGCCAGAGUGGCAAGAUAACUAAUGGAAACUAUUAACAGAUGAGGAGUUUGCUCGAAAGUCGCUUAGGGAGACUGUGUGGGAGUCUUUUGGCUCUGUAAUCGGGCCGAAAACAGUAGUUCAGAUGACUGGCAGACGAAUCGAGACCACGAAGGUCUCAAUGGAUUUUGGAAAGCAGCCGAGAAGUAGCAUAUUAUUCAGGCCGUUUAGUGUUUCAGUCCAUUCAUCGUUUCAGACCGUUCAAUGUUUCAGGCAGUUUAAUGUUUCAGACAGAUCAACGUUUCGGGCAGUUCCAGUGUAUCGGACAGUAUUGGUGAUUUUAGGAUUUCAUGUAUGGACAGAGUAACUGGUUGAUGGGAAGCAAUAAGUCACUCGCAGUGGGAUUAAAUAAUCUCAGAGUAGUUGAUUUGACUCUAUUGCACAGCUCUUGUAUGAGUCUAACUGUUGCAGGGAUGUAUCUUCUACUCGAAGGAUUACCUGAGCGCUCUGUCAAGUAUCAGUAUUCUACAGCUAGUUAUGGACAAGGAUUUUGUUCUGGUGAUAGAAUUGAUAUAAUUAGUACUAGGGAGUGUGCAUGUAGUCAGUUGCUUGAUGAGGUCUUGGCGCAGAAGUUUUGGGGAUAUAGGCGGUCCGUCUGGGAGACAGACCAUUAUAGAAUUCAGAUCUCGGAAGAACAGAAGUAGUUCUCGACAUGACAAUAAGGAUUGAUUCUUUGUCGGUUUGGAAAGUCCUAGUAGUUGGUUUCAGCUGCCUUGGGAAGGCCACUGAAUGUUGGGAGUGACAGUUAUACCACCAGGAUCACGGGUGUCACUCCCGUGGAAUUCAUCAGAUGGUUCAGGGUGGGUAGGAGUCAAGCUGCGGGUUUGAGUGCGUGAGAUGUAUCCGGGAUAGAGGAUUGUAGAGGAAUUCGAGGAUGAAGUCUAGUUUAAUUGGGGGAUAUUUGUAACACCCGGAGUCCAGGAGACCUAGAAAGGAAAAAAAACAAUAAAUGAAGAGGAACUCGCUAAGUCCAGGGAGGAACUCGAUGAGUAGGAGCAGAUUUUGGGACGCUGGUAAAAUAACCUAGUCGACGAGUUGGAGGACCAACUCGGCGAGUUGGUCGGGGUUUGAGAAACCCUAAAUCUGGGUCUAGUACCCUAUUUAAGCAUCUUAUUCUCCUCCCAUGCAGCCCCCAUCAUUUCCCUUAGUCUAGAAAACCCUAACUCGCGACCCUUGAGCUUUGAUGAGUGUGUGAGUCAUUUUUUAGAGUGUUUGUGUGAUCUUGAAGCUAGAAGAAGAAGAAGAAGAAGAAGAAGAAGAAGAAGGAUCUAGAAGGCUCAAUGAAGCAGUAGAUCCAGGGUUCAAGCUCCAUUUCCAAUCCCUUUAGGGGUAUAAAGUUGCUUCCUUGACUUCCCUAUUGCUAGAUCUCUCCAUGUUUAAGUUUAGGACCAUCUUUUAGCAAUUUGUGAACCUUUUUUUAGUAUGGAGUGUGAUAUAAAGUAGUAACUUUAGAUCUAGAUCCCUUUCAGCCCCUAUAUCCAAAAAGUUCAUGAAUUUAUCCUGCUUUAACCCUUCCCUUUGGCCUAGACUUCAUUUUAGACUUGGAAAUAAUGUUUUGGCUCAUAACACCUUGCAUGCACGUAAAGCUUGUAACUUUGCAUGUAAAAUCAACCCUCGGAGGUCAGAUCUAUGUUUUAGAUGCGUUAAGCCUAACUGAAAUCGACUAUAUGGACUUGGAAUUUAGGGGACUCGACAAGUCGUUCAUAAGACUCGGCGAGUCGGGUCAUGGUUCCCCAACCUUUUCUGUUUUGAAGCAAUCUGAUUGGGUCUGGAAGAGGACUCAACAAGAUGGACGUGAAUAUGGACUUGAAGAUCAAGGAACUCGACGAGUUCAAGGAUGAACUCGAGAAGUUCAAUGUAAUGUCUUGACUGAUAUGAAGAAGAACUCGACGUGUUCAAGAAAGAACUUGGCGAGUCAAGGGCUAUACAUUCCAACUUAUAUGAAGCAGGACUCGACGAGUUCAAGGAUGAACUCGGCAAGUCAUGAGCAAAAAGGCCCCGAUUCUGCAUGAAGAAGAACUCGAUGAGUUCUUCAAAGACUCGACGAGUAGGAUCGAAGUUUCGGUAUUUUGUGGAUUAUGGAACUCGAUGAGUUGGUGGAGCAACUUGGCGAGUUGAGUCUACCAGAUGUUGACUUUGACCAAAAUUUGUCUUUGACCAGGGUGUUGGCCUUGACUUUGACUUUCACCUGAGUUGACCCUUGAAAGGGUUAUGAGCAUGAAAUGGUAAUUAAGGAAGGAUGUUGUGUAGGAGUUUGAGGAGUUUUAAGAGGAGUUGAUCCCAACACCGAGCACAAUUCAGAUACUACACGACAUUGAGGUGAGUUACUAUCAUAUAGAAGUGGGUCUAAGGUACCAAGGUCGGCCCACUAGUAAGAGUUAUAGUAAAGACAAUUUUCUUCAUGAUAAUUGUUUGGUAUGUUGUUAUCAGUUAUAAUUGUGUGCUGGCCUGAUAUGUUCUUAUGUGAUAGUAGGUAGUAGGGGGAUUAGUCCUCGUGUUAUGGUCGUAUGCACCGAAGGGUAGGUCAGGCACCCCUGAUAUGCCUGACAGUAUGUUUAUGCUUUGUUAUUAUGUAGUAGUAGUAGGGGUGAAAUAGUCCCCGUAGCCGGUUGAGAUAAACUGGAGGGUAGGUUGGCACCACAGAAUUGCUAGACAGGGUAGGUCGUCACCCUAGAAUUGCCAGACAGGGUAGGUUAGUACCGUAGAAUUGCCUGAUAGGGAAGGAUGGGCACCCAAGAAUUACCGGACAGUAUGUUAGUUAUGUGGUAUGUGGUAUGAUGGGGGAACUCACUAAGCUUUGUGCUUACGAUUUUUAGUUUUGGUUUCAGGUACUUCGUUUUCAAAGGAAAGGAUCUGGCGAUCGAAGCGCAUCACACUUUGUUUUCCGCACAUGAGAUCUUUGGGAUUACACUCUGGUAUUAUUUUAUGAUAACAUGUUUGACUAUUGACACUUUGGUUUUGACAUGAGAUGUUAUUAUGGAUGUUUUUGUACUAAUUGGUUUUAUGAAUUGUUAAACUAAAAACAAAAUUUUUGGCCUUAAAUUUUGGGAUGUUACACAAGUGGCAAGAAAAUCUAGAUAUUUAAAGAGAAUUCGGCCAAAACUUGGGUGAUUUCGGUCAAGGCAUGGCCGAAAUCACUUAGUACACAACUCCAAUUGUUGAUUUCGGUCCUAUUGGGCCUUAACCAUGUGAUUUCGGUCUUGGUGUCACCAAAGAAAAGGGUGAUUUUGGUCCUAACAUCCUUAAAGGAAUUGAUUUCGGUUCUAGCAUCCUUAAAGUAAGUGAUUUCAGUCCAGAAGUAUUUCCUAGAUUCCCAAAACCGAAAUCCCUAAAUUAAUUUAAAAUUUCAUGCUUUUAGACUUAUCAUUUUGACUUGUGUUGACUCCUUUGAUUCCUUGAUGACUUGUCGACUUUAUUUGACUUUCAAAGGUCCAUUACUACACGUCAUUCAAAGUGUAUAUACAUGUUAACUUAUAUAAACAUGCUCUCAUGGUUUUCAAAUUUCUAUUGCAUCAAGUAUGUUGUGAAUUUACUUUUACAUGGUUAUAAUUUAGACCUUGCUUGCUCUAAAAUUUUCCAGUUGUCAUAUCAUCCCCCCGUUAGAAGGAAUUUCGUCUCGAAAUUAGUUUCAGAGUGGUUACUCAUGAGCUAAGGAAGAGAUUUGGGUACUUUUGUUUCAUCUGAUUUUCUCGUUCCCAAGUGAAUUUAGGUCCUCGUUUGGUGUUCUACCAGACCUGCACUAUUUGUAUAAGACUUUGUUUCGUUCUCUUCAUCUGUCCAUGAUUUCUGUUGGUUCUUCUACGAAGUGUAGACUCUUAUUUACCUUGACUUCAUCGAAUGGAAUUACUAGAGUCUCGUCGAACAAAUACUGUUUUAGAUUGGGCGUGGAAGAUGGGGUGUAUGUUACUAAGUUCCUGCGGUAGUUGAGGUUUUCAAAGAUUUCUGUAACGAUUGUCAAAAACGUGAGCCGAAUUGAUUGUCCCUUAUCUGUGAUAAUUGAUAGCGGUAUACUUUGCAGUCUCACAACUUCCUUGUUGUAUGUUCUUGUCUGUUUUUCUAUUUUAUCUGUUGUUUUGAUCAGUAGGAAGUGUAUGGGUUUGGUUCAUCACUCAAAUGGUUGCGUUUCCACCUGCAGUCCUGGGAAACUCUGCCCUAUAAUUCGUGGUAUAACUCAUACCUGGUUCAUCUAUCAUCGCUUUGUGUAUACAAGUCGUAUAUAAUUAAGAUUGGAAAGACAGUCGGAUAAGUGAUUCAACCUUAUGCCCACAACCAAACAAGGAACGGGAUUUAUGGUGGGAUCACACAUCCUAAGUCUGUAGAAUCCUAAUUAUAUACCACCCUUACGUAUGCACCUAGUAUUGAUAAAGUACCAGCAUGGUUCCUUAGUUUCUACAUGAGUGAUGCGAUUAGUUUGGGUGAGAAGGUAAUUACAACUACUUUUUCCAUAGCAACUGUGUUUUAGGUCGAUUCUUGAACUUGACUUGUUGUUCGAGUGGUAUUCUCAAGAGGUCUCCUGGGAGUACUUCGGAAAGUUUACGGACUUCUGGAAUAUCCCUGAUGUCUCACACUUCUUGUUUCUUGUUCACGACGUAGGUUAGUAAAGCUUGUUACCUCUUGUGUAAGUACUUUUGAGUCUUGACGAAAGGGAUGAUUUGAGAGUUUGAGUCGGGUUGGUCAUCAUAAGUGACGAGGGUUUCAUUAGUUGGUAGGUUAAGGAGAACGGAUUUUUCAUACAUAUGAUAUUGGUACGGUUAGGACUUAACCAAUACGUGCUAGUGAUCACGAUGAAAAUUUUCUAUUGUAACUAUUAUUAGGCCGAUUUGGAAGGAUUUGCUGCUUUAGUGUUUGAGUGCAUCCUAUGUAUAUAUCUUUAGUGUUUUUUAGUUUUUACAUUUUGUUAUUUCUACUAUGAAUAUUUCAUCCCACAAUUUAGUAAUUACAGGUAGUACAAGGGUUUUGCUAAAUUAGUAAUGAAAUCUCAUAGAAUGAUCCCUACCAGGUCCUUUUAUGAUCGCUUGGUGUAUACAAGUCAUAUAUAAUCAAGAUCGAACAGACUGUCGGAUAAGUGAUUCUACUCUAAGCCCACAACCAAACAAGGAAUAGGAUUUAAAAUGGAACCACGAAUCCUAAGUCCAUAGAAUCUUAAUUAUAUAUGACCCUAAUGUAUACAGUAAGCCAUCAUAGAUCAUCCAUAAGGAUCAUUAGUUUUUAUAUGAAUGAUGUGAUUUAUUUGGAAGAGGGGAUAACUUAUGAAUAUGCUUUAUCGCAUUUCGAGAUCAUUGUUUGAUAAGAUCUAAUUGGCACUCGUUUUAGUGAAUAUUAGACGCUUAAAUAUUUCUAUUUGAAAACGUACCAAUAACUACAGUUGGUUCUGGGAGAGUCUCUCCUACAGUGAUCAUCAAUACAGUUGGACACUGCCUUUUGAAAUGCCCCGACUCACCACAAUCGUAGCAGGUACGACUCACUCCAGCAUUGGCGACUUGGGUGAUUUGUUGUGCGGGAGUCCUAUAAAAACAGGCAGCGUGCCCCUUUUUUUUGCAAAUGUUGUAGUACAUUUAUUGGUAGCCUCUAUUGUGAUGGAAGUUGCAUUUUCCGCAUUUGGGUAGGUUGCCAACAUAUUGUCUUAAUGGUGUUGUAGGUGAUUGGUUUUGGUCCUAAGAACAUCCUAUGUGCUCAUACAAACCCUAAUGCUUGGAUCUAGGUUUCUCUAUUGUACAUGCAUGUUAUCCAAGACUAUAAACCCUAAUUCUAGCAUUCAAGUAAUCAUAUUAACAUGAGAAUAGGUUUAAGAUAUUACUUUGAUUGUUAUAUAGCAAUAACAAUCCCAAAUCCUUCUUCUAUUGACUUUAGAAAGCUUAGAGUCACAAAUGUCACUCCUCUAAUGGUUCACAAACACCAAGAGCAAGAGGAUGAGGAGGAGAGAGGAUGGAGGCUUCCCUAAAACGUGUGAAACCCUAGAAGGAUGCUUAGCCACGUUUUUGGGUCAUAAGGGAUGUAUGUAUAGGAGGCUAUUAGGGUUAUCUUAACAAGGAAACCCUAAUUUGGAUGCUUAAGCCCUAAGCAACCCAUAGAUUCCUUUCCUUAAGGCCUUGGAUGAUUUCCUCAUGGGUUUCCCCAUGGAAUUCGUCCACUCCUUAAUAUAAGGCAAUCUAUGGCCCAAAUUGCAAUUAUCUUAUAAUUACAAUUCUAGUCCCUUAAGUUUAAUUAAUCUCUUUUAGUCACAAAACUAAUUACCAAUUAAUUAUUGACUAAUAUUAAUUAAACAAUAUGAUUUCUCCUUUAAUAUAUUAUUCUCAUAGUAUAUUAAUAAAUCAUAUUUAAUCCUUUCUCUCUAUAAUUCAUCCUAUCAAGUUGCUUUGGUGAAGGCAACCCAAAAGGACCAUGCACCAUCGGGUCAAGUACAUACCAAAAUAGUUAUGGACUUAGACACUAAUCCAACAGUAGGGUUAAAUGGCAAUGUGGACACCAAUGAUUUGUUGUUUCUUAGUGGGCUAUCUCUUCCUCUAAGGAGUAUAGGUGGUCCAUAAUGUUUUCCUAAUCUGCUGGUAGGUGUGGCAUCCAUAUGGUGUCCUUGUUCCCCGUAGUUGUGUUAAUUUUUGCACCGUCAUGUUCCGAGCUUUGCUACUGAUCUCCAUUACAUCGUCACAGAGAGUCUAAACCCGAAUUUCCGAUCGGGCCUCUCAUGCUACGAUCAGGAGUAGUGUUUGAUUUGUAUGUGCUAAGGCCCGAAGUAUAGUGUAGUGGGUGUACUUAUAUUGUGGUGAUGUAUCUUGGAAAGAUAGAGGUGAAAGGGUCUUAUGCCUACUCCUAGUAAGGUAAGGUUCCUUAACAAUCUAACGGGCGCCCUUCUCUUCAUCUGAUCUCUUCUCAGGAUCCUUCUCAUAAACUUCUUUUGGUUCUUCUUCAAUUCAUCUAUUGGCUGUAGUGGUAGGGUUACAGUGUCUAGAUAUGCCGUUGGUGCGAGAAUAGGGGUCUAUAAAGAAUCUAUGAGGUUAAUAGAAGCAUUUUUAAUGAAGUUUUUAUGACGUGAUCCUUAACGGGUCCUCCUAUAAUCACAUAGUGUAUACAAGUUGUAUAUAACCAAGAUCGAAUAGACCUUCGAAUAGGUGGUUCCACUCUACGUCCACAACCAAACAAGGAAUAGGAUUUAAAGUGGAAUCAUAAAUUCUAACUCUAUUAAAUCUUAAUUAUAUAUAACUCUAAUGUAUACACUAAACAAUUAUAGACCUACCAGUAAGGGUCUUUAGUUUUCAUAUGAAUUAUCUAUAGUAUCAUAAAAUACUCCUAUAAUAUUUUAAUUUCUUAUGAUUCUAGAAUUUUCUUGGUAUAUAUAGAGCUGGUAAGUUUUAGAUAUGUUGCUCACCACGACUAUUCCCAAGCAUAUGCUAGUCACCCCUCAGAUAAAUAUAGUUGAUGAGGCUAUAUUCAUCUAAGACCUGAUUACAUAUACCAAGGUUUACUCAUAGUGUCCAACUUAUCUUAAUACUUUUAUUUUAUUCUCAUUAUGACACUGCUCUAGUAUGUAUGUAUGUGUGUAUGUAUGUAUACUUCUAUAAAUAUUAUUAUAUUUAAAAGUAUAACUCUUGGUCAGAGUGUUUUAGCCCCAUUGUAUUUAUUGUUGUAUAUCUUAUAUGGUUUGAUAUAUUUAGUUCACUAUAAACAUUGCUCUGAUACCAAUCGGUCACACCCCCAAACCGGAAUGGCGGAAACAUCCGGGGGUGGGUGAUGUCAUGUACAGUAUCAUAACAAUUAAAUAGUAGUAAUCAAGGCAGCACAACCAUCAUACUGAAAAUAUAUAAUUCACAUUUUGUUCGAAUCAUUAUUUGUUUGACACCAAAACUAUAGCCAAAAACUAAGAUGUGACGCUACUAUACUCCUUCUUCUCGAAACCUGUGUGGGUACCUGUCUACUAAUUUUCAAAGAAUACAAGUGGUUUGAAAAAGUGUCAAAAUUUAAGUUGGUGAGUUCAUAAGCAUUUUGUAUGCAAAGGUAUGUUCUUUGUUCAUUGAAAAUAUUAGUGUGUUCUUCCAGAAAAUCCAAUAUUUUCUUUGUAUAAGUGUUGUAGUCUUACUACCUUAAGACCAAAAAGUGUAAGUUUCUUAUGUUUAAAAUUUGUAAUAUGAAGUUCUAAUUUAUAUAAGUGGUGUGACCCAUAUGGGUACCUCUUAUGAUCACUUAGUGUAUACAAGUUAUAUAUAAUCAAGAUCGAACUGACAGUCGGAUGAGUGAUUCUGCCCUAAGCCCACAACCAAACAAGGAACAGGCGGAAUCAUACAUUCUCAUGCGUAUAGGAUCUUAAUUAUAUAUAACCGUGACGUAUAUGCUAAGUAAUCACAAAGUUACCAAUAAUGGUCUUUUCAGAAGUGUAAGUUGCACUAUACUAGAAUAAUAGAGUACUACAAUUGUAUUUGUAUGUAACCCUUUUAUAUGUGUGUUUCUAGGAAUGUAAAUUGUGUUUUAAUGGAAAAUCAUGUAAUGUAGUUUUAUUACUAAGUAAAACUAGUUGAAGAUGUGUUUGCCCCGUAAAAUAAAUGUAAAGUAAGUAACCCUCUAAGACUGUUUGAAAAAAUAUAUUACUCCGUAAAUGUGUCGUUGUUUUCUCCAUGUGAGUUCCUAUAACCAUACUAUGACCCAGUCGGUCUGAUACGACAUUCUUCAGGCGUCAAAAUAUUAACGAUAUUUGUCACCCCAGACUUAUCGGUCCAACUAUAGCUAAUAGUCAGGGUGUGGGAUUGUCGGUACCAUAUAGAUCGAUACACAAAUAUCUCGCUCUCCCUACAAGAGACUCUGGUUAUAAGUCAGGUCUUUUUUCGGUACUUAGGUAAGUACGUGAAGACGUGUCUCACAAAUUUAUUGCUUCAACAAGUUUACGAGUAAUGAAAUGAAAACCCUUAAGAAAUGAAAAUGUAAAAGCCUUUAGUAAAUGAAAAUGUAACUUUUCCAUAGAAAUUUUUGAGUGUAUAAAUAUUGUAAAAUGACCUAUAAACUAUACCUAUUAUAUAGUUUAUAAUGUAUGUUCUUUUGAAAUGACAAACCUUUGAAUUUUAACAGCUUUUUAUGUAAGAGUUUAUAAUUUUUGUAGUAACGUUAUUUAACUUUUUUCCGUAAAGUGUACAUAAAGUAUAAGAAAACAUAAUAAGAGACCUGUAUAUUUACACAAGUAUUCUUGUGUUUUAACUUGUAUUCUCCCCCUAAAACAUAAAAAAAAAGCUUGAAAUGUGGAGGUAUGAACUGACCUCGACUGUGAUCGUGGUUAGAUGACAAGGUAAAAAUGGUGAUCUUCGAGUUAGAACGCUAGAAGGUAGUUGUAUCCUAAUCAUUUUAAACACAUAAUAAUAUGUUAAAAUUAAAUGAACUAUCAUGGUAUUGUGGUUGUAUAACACUAGGUUAUAAGAAAUGCUUACCAAGAUUCUAAAGAAUAACUUUGAAGAAAUAGACUUCCUGGGAUUGUUUUGAACUUGGGGUUGAAAGGAAAAUGGGUUUGUGUUCUGAGAGAUUAUGAAGUGAAGUUUGUUUACUGUAAAUGUGGGUUGAUAGGAUCAUAAUUUGUGACUUAUAUAGGAAGAAAUAAUAUAAGAUGAUGCGAUAUAUGCAUUGGUAAGUGUAAUAUAUCACAUUGGGAAGAGUAUCAACCAAUCAAGUGGCAAGAAAAUCUAGAUAUUUAAAGAGAUUUCGGCCAAAAAAUGGGUGAUUUCGGUCAAGUCAUGACUGAAAUAACUUAGUACACAACUCCAAUUGUUGAUUUCGGUCCUAAUGGACCUUAACAAUGUGUUUUGGGUCUUGGUGUCACCCAGGAAAAGGGUGAUUUCGGUCCUAACAUCCUUAAAGGAAGUGAUUUCGGUUAUAUCAUCCUUAAAGGAAGUGAUUUCGGUCCAGAAGUGUUUCCUAGAUUCCCAAAACCGAAAUCCUAAAGUAAUUUACAAUUUCAUGCUUUUAGACUUAUCAUUUUCACUUAUGUUGACUCCUUUGAUUCCUUUAUGGCUUGUCGACUUUAUUUGACUUUCAAAGAUCCAUUACAACAUGGCAUUCAAAGUGUAUAUAUAUGUUAACUUAUAUAAACAUGCUCUCUUGGUUUUUAAAGUUCUAUUGCAUCAAGUAUUUUGUGAAUUUACUUGUACAAGGUUAGAAUUUAGACCUUGCUUGCUGUAAAAUUUUCUAGUUGACCCAGUAAUAAUACUAGGUUUCGUCGAAGGAAAAUAGAAUCAUUAGAAUCGAAGCGCUGCCCGAGUUUGGAAUCAUCACUUUAAAAGGUGAGUGCAUAGUUACUUUCAUCUUACACAUAGAUAUGAAGUAGUUACUAUUAAUACGUGUUAUAUGUUCUUAUUAUCAAUGUUCCUGAUAUCUAUGCUAGAUGAACGAUUUAUACAUGUUUUGCUUGAUUUAAACAGUAUAUGUAUUUUUAUACCUAUAAAUAUAUUGGGUAAAGAUGAGUAGAUAAAAGAUGAUAUAGAUGAAGAGAGAUGAAAGAUGGUAUAGUAUGAUGAAAGAAAGGAUGUCAUAGUAUGACAAAAGAAGUAGGCAAAUAUAGAAUGCCACGACUUUAGAAUUGUUAUUUUAUCAACGAUGUAGUGACUUAGCAAAGAAUAGGUGACAACUAUCGGACUAAUUAAUGAUAGACCUGUAGAACACUGGCAGCUAUGGACUUAGUGCCCUAUAGGUGAACAUUGGAAGCUACGGACUUAGUGCCUUAUAUAUGAACGUUGGCAGUUGUGGACUUAGUGCCUUAUAAAUGAACAUUGGCAGCUAUGGAUUUAGUGCCAUAUAGAUGGAUAUUGGCAGCUAUGGACUUAGUGUCUAUUAGAUAACAUCGGCAGCUAUGGACUUAGUGUUUGUUAGAUAAACCCUGGCAACGAUGGACUUCGUGCCUAUUCCUUAGGACAAUCCUUAUGAAUGAAUGAAGGAAGAAUAGAUGAUUCUUAGGGUAGAUCCUUAAGAAUAAAGAAGAUAAUAGGGAUGGGAGGUUGGGUUAAUUGUUUGAUGAUUAAACAUAAUAACUACGUUAUUGUGGGUUGAAAACCCUAUGUACUCACCAGGUUUCCCAGCCUGACCCACUCAGUUUAUUUGUAUUACAGGUAUCGAUACGAAGCUACAUUACACUAAGAGAUUAAAGGAGAUGUAAAUCACUACUGUAAAUGAAUGUAAGGUCUGUUUAUGCUAAUGUUUCUGUAUUGACGAUGACAUCCCAAAGUUUUAAUAUAAAUAAAAUACAUUUCUUCAGAAAUGCUUUGAUAAUAUAUUUAUCAUGUUUUCUAGGAAAAAAUUCUACAAUUUUAUUCUUUAAAAUGAAUACACUGAUUUUAAAAUAAGCAUAAAUAAAAUUUUAAAAAUGACCGUGAAUUUAGGGAUGUCACAGUUGGUAUCAUAUCAUUAGUUUAAGCGAACUAGUAAUAAGGAUUUAUUUCUAGAGCUAAACUUAUAAUGCUAAGCGAUGAUCGGGAGGCGUGUGUCUAAUAUAUUUUAGGAAGUACCCUUGACUAGACACGAGAAAUAGCUCAUUUAGGGAAGAUGUCUAAAAAGCUUUUAUGUGCUAAAUGAAUUGUGGUGCUUUGUGAUUCUAUCCUUUGAUCAGAUCUAUGGUCUGUUGUCGACCGGAUCUGGAAACUUUAUGUGUUCAAAUUUCUAAACGUUUAAUUAUGGUAUUAGAUCUGCCAUGUAACUUUUCAGAGUUAUAGGGAGGUUUAUACGUUUGAUUCCCCUAUCUAAAUUAUCGUCGCUGUACACUGAACGUUUAAUUUGUUGUAUAGAUCAAAAUGGUGAGAACUCGGAGCAGAUUAGGAAAUGCAAAUGGAAACCAAUAGCCACAAGUGAUUUACUGUGCACAAGAGGUAGCAGUUGCACCCAAGUUAAUCACGAUGGCUAGAGUCCAAGAAAUGAUUCGGGCUAUGAUGGUUGAAAAAGGGGAGGAGAUGAGGAAAAUAUUGCUUAAUAAGGAUGAACCUACUGUGCCUAUUGUGUAGUCCGAACUAAAUGAAGAACUAUCAUAGGAGGGAAAUUAUAGCCAUAUUGUGAGUCAAGUUAGACCCUAAGUGGUCAGGAGGAAUGACCAGGAUAAAAGGAUUGACAGGGAUGGGCGUAUGUAUAAGAACUUCUUGGGGUGCCAAACCACCAAGUCUUUCUGGAAGCCCAAAUCCAGUGGAAGUUAUGGACUGGAUCUCCGAGAUGGAAAUAGUAUUUGAAAGCUGCAACUGCAGCGAUAAGCAAAAGAAUGUAUUUGCAGUCAGACAACUAAAGACCGAAGUUUUGAGUUGGUGGAAGUUGUUGGCAGAUACAAUGUCACGGGGAGAAACCAUGCGGAUGUCUUGGGAAGCAUUCAUGGAGCAGUUGAAAACGCAAUACUGCUCAUAGAUAGAUCUUAUAGACCUAAACAAUGAGUGAUAGAACCUAAAAAAAGGAAGACGAGUGUUGAUGAGUAUGCCACCGCAUUCACUGAUAGGAUGAAGCUAUUGCCCUACUUGGUGCCUACUACACUUUCCAAGAUAGAUAGAUUUGCUAAUAGACUUUGGCCCAACGGUUAAAAUCUCAACUACUUUGAAGACAGUCGUUAGAGCAACUAAGAAUGUAGAGACCCAUAUAAGAGAAAAGGGUCUAGAAAAAGAUAAGGUGGGAGAAAAGAGGAAAAUGAAGGUAUCCUCAAUAUUUGAUAAAAAGGGAAGAUUCUCAAAGUCCAACCUGGAUGACCAAAAGUAUGGAGCCAAGUGGUGUGAAAAGUGCAAGAAAAAGCAUUAUGGGAGAUGCAACGGACAAGUGACUUGCUACACAUGUAGGAGGAUUGGACACUAUUCCAAGGAUUAUACAUUUAAUGAUAAGGUAUGAUAUCGAUGUGGAAGGAGCAUAUGUCAAAAGAUUGCCUGAAGAAAAAUGAAGCAGCAAGGCUAAAUGUGUCACCAAAGCCGGAGGCAAGAGCAUUCAAGAUGAUCCUUGACGAAGCAGGUGACAAUGAAAGGGUUCUAGAGUGAGGAUCUAUAUAUCCAAAGAUCGAGAUAUGAAGUAGCCAUAUAAAUAGUAUCAUGUGGUGUAGCCUAAUAUAAGAAGCAUAGUGUAGGGUGAACUUGAACAUCUAUGUAAACGUUUCAAGAAAUAAUAUAAACCUUAGUUAUGUUAUCCGAUGUGUUAAAUGACUAUGUGAAAUUCUUGUAUGGUGACUUGUAAAACUGCGAGACAAUACUUGGGAUACGUAUGAGUAGGUGUGAAAGGUAGUAGAGGCCUAUACUAUCGGAAUCACAUGGCUUGCACUUGGAUCAGGGAAAGUCACAAGGUUACCUAGGUAAUAGUAAUUGAUUCUAUUUUGUUCAUGUCCGUCGUUACCAUCAUUUCGGUAAUGACUAAGAAGAUGAUUGUUAUUCCAACCCUAGUGGUCAUAUCAAAUCGAGUCUGACUACGACGAGUAUGUUACGUGGUUCAGAGAACCAAGUUCGAUGUAGCAUCUGACUUAAGCCAGAAGAUCGAAAUGAAAGCGAUCAGUAAAAGUAUCGCGAUCAUUUUUAAAGUAAGAACUUGUAGCUAGAAGUGCUACAUGCUAUAAUGUGAUUAUAUCACACUAGAACAUGAAGGAAGCUAUAUUCCAUUCUGAAAUUUGGCUCUAAAGGACCUGAGUCUAAGCAUUGCAUCAUACGAUGAGAGGUCAUUAGAACAUGACACAUCAUUAUGUUACAAUUAUCGAAGUAAAGUCUAUUUAAGAAGGAGCAAGAGUCUCCAAUAAGGAUCGAUUUUGUAACUCAAAUAUUAUGAUUGAAAGUCCAACAUAGGAUAAAGAGCGGGUUUAAGAUUAAGCACCGCUUGCAAUCAAGGAGUCCAAGACUUAGAUAGUCAUUUGAAGGAACUUAGAAGUUAUGAUUAUUACCUAGGAUGAAGAGAUAACAUAUGGAGUCAUUAUACAAGCCUUGUUUCGUUGAUAAUUCUGGGACAUAAUCAUCCUAAAGGGGAGAUAAUUGUAACGCCCGUAGAUUCGGGCUAGUCAAUUUAGAGACAAUAAACGUCAAAAAAAUGAAUUUUUGAUAGAAUAUUAUUUAGAGUAAAUAAUCUUAAUCAUGUUAUAGUAUGUGUCACAAGGAUUCCAUACAUACAAAUAACACUGAAAUCCGAGUUAUAACGAAAAAGCUAUAACAUGUCGAAGUUUUACGGCAAAACCGACACGACACAUGGAAUCGUAAAAAGUGAGUUUGUGAUAAAAUACUUUUUAGCCUUAGUGAUCUAAAGGAAAUCCGUAGUAUACAUUAAGCCAAUAGUGUGCAUAAAAAGAACGUCCAAACCUGACUUCGUAUGAGGAAGUUAUGAUUUUUAUAAGAUUUAGCAUAGCAUUGCACAGCCCGGAAUUCGAAUUUUAGAUUGACCGAAUUUUAGCCGACACAAUCUAAACAAGAAUCUAAGAUCUCGUUAAUAAGAACUCAAUGAUAAAAAAAAACAGACGAAAACAGAUGUCAGAUGACAAAGUUAUGAAUUUUUAACGGAUUUUAACUGUCUAAGUCUGUUAAAAUAUAACUUUAAAAAUAAAUUCAAAAGUAGCCAAUGGGGUCUAAAUAAAAGUUGUGGAUCAUGUUUCCACCUACACGUGGAUAUGAAGAACGUCAAAAAUGGAGCUUGUAUGCGAAAGUUACGGAUUUUAGAAGAUAAUUAGCUUUCGAAAUAAUCUGUGAGUGACACGUGGCCCAAUCCUGGCCAUUGCUUCCUCCCCACGCCUUGCCACCAGAUGGUGACACUUGGCACUCCACUAGACGAGUUGGAGGCUCAUAACUCACUGAGUUGGGCCAUUUCCCAGCCUAUAAAUAGAGGCGCAAAUCGUCCAUUUCCUUUACACCUCUCCCAUUCAUUCUCUCUCAAACAUCUCUCUAAACCCCUUCCAAGCCUUAGUACUUCCCAAGUGCUAAGAGACAAAUUCUGAAGCGCCAGAAGGCUCGGAAGUUCUGCCCCCUAGAGCCCGGUUCCAAACCAAACCUCCUAGUAAGUGAGUUAUGCUUACCUUACUUUAUGUAUAACCUAUGUUUGAGUUCAAUAUCGUUAUUAUAAACUUAUAAGCAAUAUAUANNNNNNNNNNNNNNNNNNNNNNNNNNNNNNNNNNNNNNNNNNNNNNNNNNNNNNNNNNNNNNNNNNNNNUAUAUAUAUAUAUAAUACAAUAUAAUAUACAAAGUGUUAUUAUAAUAUCUUGUACUACUCGGGAUAUGGCGAAUCUGGUUUGAGGGGCCGCAUAUGGUUGUUGGAUUUCAGAAGUGCUAUAAUUGCAAAAUGAUCCUACCCUCUGGUGUUUCAUGUCUGUCCCCUGUCUGUACAUAGUGGUUAAAAAGGAUUGUUUAACACUUAUAAAACAAUAUCGCUCGUAAAUAGUCUCAAAAAAUAUUAGACUAAAAUCUAGUGGUAAUAAUACUAGGUUUCGUUGAAGGAAAAUAUAAUCGUUAGAAGCGAAGCGCUACCCGAGUUUGGAAUCAUCACUUUAAAAAGUGAGUGCAUAGUUACUUUCAUAUUACACAUAGAUAUGAAGUAGUUAAUAUUAAUAUGUGCUAUAUGUGCUUAUUAUAUGUGUUCCUGAUAUCUAUGCUAGAUGAACGAUUUAUACAUGUUUACUUGAUUUAAAUUGUAUAUGUAUUUUUGUACCUAUAAAUAUAUUGGGUAAAGAUGGGUAUAUGAAACACGAUAUAGAUGAAGAGAGAUGAAAGAUGGUAUAGUAAGAUGAAAGAUGGGACAUCAAAGUAUGACAAAAGAAGUAGGAAAAGAUAGAAUGCCAAGAAUUUGGAAUUAUUAUUUUACCAACAAUGUAGUCACUUACCAAAGUAUAGGCGACAACUACCAGACUAAUUGAUGAUAGUCCCGUAGAACACUGACAGCUAUAGACUUAGUGCCCUAUAGGUGAACAUUGGCAGCUAUGGACUUACUACCUUAUAUAUGAAUGUUGGAUGCUAUGGAAUUAGUGCCAUGCAAAUAAAUGUUGGCAACUAUGGAUUUAGUGCCCUCUAGAUGGACAAUGGCAGCUAUGGACUUAGUGUCUAUCAGAUAACAUCGGUAGUUGUGGACUUAGUGUCUGUUAGAUAAACCCUGGCAACAAUGGGCUUUGCACCUAUUCCUUAGGAUAAUCCUUAUGAAUGAAUGAAGGAAGAAUAGAUGAUUCUUAGGGUAGAUCCUUAAGAAUAAAGAAGAUAAUGGGAUGGGAAGUGGGGUUACUUGUUUCAUGAUUAAACAUAACAACUAUAUUAUUGUGGGUUGAAAAAUCUAUGUACUCACCAAGUUUCCCAACCUAACCCACUCAGUUUAUUUUUAUCACAGGUAUCGAUACAUAGCAACAUUACACUAAGAGAUUAGGGGAGAUGUAAAUCACUAGUGUAAAUGAAUGUAAGGUAUGUUUAUGAUUAUGUGUUUGUAUUCACAAUGACAUCCCACAGUUUUAAUAUAAAAAAAGACAUUUCUUUGGAAAUGUUUUGAUAAUAUAUUAAUCAUGUUUUCUGGGAACAAAUUCCGCAAUAUUAUUCUUUAAAAUGAAUAUUUUGAUUUUCAAAUAAGGAUAAAUAAAAAUUUUAAAAUGACCGUGAAUUUGGAGAUGUCACAAUAUCGAUGAUGAAUUUGUAUAUUUACUAAGAGAGAUUUGAGAAUCGGUUUGUGUUGGGCAUUUCUAGCAGCAACAUAUGACCUUUUUAUGUUUAUAUAUAAUAUUUGAAAUGUUUGGCUUUUUAUUGUUGAUUCAAUGACUAUUGACUAAUCAAUAUUUUUUAUGUGGGACAUAAUACUCUCACUAAGCCAAUGUUUCUUCAGGAUACACACAAUGGAAUCCUCUCUCAAAUACCGGUGUAGCCUGAGUCUGGUAACAAAAUUCAUUAUCCAUAAUCCCCCACUAGUUCUUUUCUUUAACUUUACAUAUCUCGCUGGCUUUAUGUGUUCUUCUACUCCUUCCAUACGUUGUUGUUAUAUAUAGAUUUGGCAGAAGUCUAUUUUGGUAUUCUGUGGUUCAAACAUUUCAUUUUUCUCUCCUAACUCAUUUUCAUGUUUGGAUUUUUACUGAAUGGUGGUAGGGGAAGGAAGAAAGCAUGAUUUUAGUGUUGCAAAAUUUGAUAAUUAGACAGUAAUGCUAUGUCAUCAGCUAGGUAAAAUGUAAUUUAUUUUUCUAUGUUAACUUAAUAUAGAGUAUUUAUUUGUGUUUUCGAUAUUAGUGUUGUUUGUUUCGUGUUUGAGAAAGAGUACCAUGUUAGCUAUUAUGAGAAUUCUGAAUUUCUAACUUUGUAUUCGAAUUCUUAGUUUUGACCUAUAUUUGAUUUCCAUCUUGAUUUUCUACUCUAAAAUUAAAAUGAUCAAGAAUUUGACGAUUUUGCCCUUCUUUUUUCGUUUUUUUGAUAUCUGAUUUUCAAGGAGAUUUGUGCCAAAAUUGUUGCUGCUAGAGUAUGUGUCACAACCCAAAACCGAAAUGGUGGAAACGUUCGGGGGUGGAGGACGUCAUGUACAAUACCAUAACAAUGCAAAUUAGUAAACAAUCAUCAACAUCAUCCAUUGCAUUAAUAGUAUAAUUUGAUACAAGAGUGUUCUUUAUAUAGAAUAAGACACCAAAAAUGUAUAAUCAAAAUAAAGACGAGUCUUGAACAUGCUCCGUCUUCUCAAAACCUGGUCAUCGAUACCUAUUUACAGGUGACCAGAGAAUACAAGUUAUUUUGAAAGCGUAGAUCUGCAUUUAAGCUUAUCAGUUCAUACAUAUUUAGUGUCAAUGUUUGUAUAAGUUUGCUAAAAGUGUUUAUAAAUGUUCAAUGUAAAAGUUUGUAUAUGUUUGAAAGCUCCAAGAAGAUCCUAUAUUUUCUACUAGUAUAAAAAGUAGUCUUUUACAAAGACCCGACUGUUUCGUAUGUUUGUUUCUCUGUAAAAGUGAAUGUUUUUCCCAAAUAUCACUAUCAUUACCAAAAUAUAGUUUUACAUUACCGUUUAUGUGAGAAGAUCACAAUUUGAAUGUAAUGGGAAAAUGUAUGUGUACUGUAGUAUUAUAUGUAGUAACUACUGUAGUAAUAACUACCUUAAAACCAAUAGUUUAUUUAAGGUAAAAUGUGAUGAGGUUGUUACCAUGCUAAACUGACUAUAACACGACGAUGAAAGACAUCGGAAGAAAUGACAUUUGGCACCCGUAGACUUGCCAGUCCCACUGUAGCGAACAUCAAAGUGUAGGAUAGUCAAUCAAGUAUAGAUCUAUACACAAACUCACGCUCUCCCUCAAGGAGAUUUUGUUUACAAAACAUGACACAACAAAAUGGUUGUUGUGUCAUGAAGUAGUAUCUCACAUUAAGUUAUCUUGAAUCUUGUUAUAGUAUACUUGUUAUAGUAAUAGUAUUCUCUAUAUAGUAUUCUCUUUAUAGUGUUCUCUGUUAUAGUAUUCUCUGUCUAGUAUUCUUUGUUAUAGUAUUUGUAUAGUGAUAUUAUUCUCCUAAACUAUACCUUUUAUAGUUUACUAGUAAUUCCUGUAGUUUGAAGGAAUGAAUGUAUACCUUUGCUACCUAAAGGUACAUAACUGAUUGAUAGUACUUUUAUAUCUACAUAUAUAUACAUAAUAUAUAACUAAUAUUUAGAUGACAUUUGGACAAAUAACCGAUACCCUAAGUCCACAUCCAAACAAGGAAAAGGAAAUAAAGUGAGUCAUCAGUCCUAAGUCCUUUAAACAUUACGUACAUAACUAUACAUAUGUAGACAUGCUUUUGACAAUAUAUAUAAGUUUAAAAAGAAGUUUUGUAAUACAUUUGAUGAGUUUAACAGUUUGAACAAAAUAUUGAUGACUUGAUGUCAGUUUAUAAAACGAUUUAGAAGUAGUUUAUUUGAUAAGACAGUUUGAAGUAUAAGAAAUCCUUUGUUUGAAACACAGUUUGAAGUAUAUGAAAUCCUUUGUUUGAAACACAGUUUUAAAUCACAUGUGAUUGAUUAUAUAACCAACAUGUUUUCUACUUGUAUUCCCCCCAUAAAAGCAUUUAAAAUCAUUUAAAAGAUAAGUUAAGGGGCAUGAACUCACCUGUAAUGAGUAACUUUAAUGUAAGAUCGAUAAAGGAUGCUAAGUGUCAAGUGAAGGCUUGAGCACACACGGAUCCUAUUUAGCAUAUAAUGACACAUAUAUGUAUACAAUUAGUGUUUAUACAACUAAUCAUGUGAGGGAAACACCUUAGGGACUAAGAAACACUUGAAUUGAAGUGUUACAAUCACAUAUGAUCGCAUAUAAGGGGUGUAUGGCUACACAUUGGUGUUUACGACAAAGUGGUAUGUUUCUAGUAGUUUACGGCCAUAGGGUUUACGGCCCUAUGAGUUUGUGGCCGUAAAAUCAUGACACAUAGUACCAAAAAUGUGUGUUAAGGUCUUAAUUACAUCAUGGUAGUGUUCUAGGUCACAAGCUUAGCUCUUAGAAAAGUUUAUGGCCAAAACGGCACCAUUAUAAGGGUUUACGGCCAAGGGAGAUGCUCUUAGCCUUGAGCUCCUAUUGUUCUUGGGAAAUGAUUGUUUUCAAGGUGCAAAUUAAGUGCUUUAACUAGAUAACAAGUAUAGGGAAAGGAUACUUACGAUAUAGAAGCUUGAAAGGGUGACUAAGAUCCAAAAACUUAGUGUGUGUUCUUGGUGUUCUUGAAGAUCUAACCAAAAAGUGGUAGUUUUCAUUUAUGAUGUAACAACCCGUCAUUUUAGGUCCUUGAAAUUCGAGUCUUGUAUCCUCUUUGAAAAAGUAAUUAGAAUAUCAUCGAAAAAUGAAGUAUUCAAAGGCUCUGUUUGAAGUACGUUAUGUAAUAGAUAUCGUCUUAAGGAUUCCAAGCAUAUAAAGAACACUAAAAUCCGAGUUAUAACGAAGAAGUUAUGACCAUUCUAAGUUUUCCGACAAAAAUCGGCAAUACGAAGUUACGUGAAAACUCGAAUCGGAGAUUGAGCGACUUUUGGCCGGAAUGACCUAAACGAGAAUCGAAGGUCUCGACAAUGGUAUUUCAGCGGUAAAAAGUCUGGCAAAAACCGACGUCAGAUAAAGAAGUUAUGAAUUUUUAAAGAAAUUCCUUAAUCACGUCAUUUUAAUAAAUAAAUAAUAAAAAUAAUUUCAUAAAUUGCCAACAGAAUCUAAACAAAAGUUGUAGAUCUUAGUCUCACCUACGCGUGGAUAUAAAGAACGUCGAAAACGGAGUUCGUAUGAAGGAGAUAUGAAUUUUAGAAGUUUAUUUAAAAUAAAUAUAAAUUUAAAUAUAAACCCUUAGUAAUAUCCGAAGAGGAGUCAGCGGAUAGGACCAAGGUACGCCCCGCGUACUCAAAUCAAGGGCUCCGGAUUGUCCACGUCGCUCCAAUGUUUCUUCCGAGGAUGCGGUAAGCCAUGACGUCUCGUAUGCCCUGCGUACGAGCGUACGCCCCGCGUACGCGAGGCUUCCAGACCCUAUAAAAGGGGUGCGAGGGUUUCCGAAAAACUUGCUCAUUUUUUCUCCUUUCUCUUGUGUUUUGCCUCGUUUUCCGUGCCCGUUCAAACCCGAAGCCCUGGUCAUUUUGCUCAAGUCCCGAAGGUCGAUUUUACUCCCGAGAUUCCCGAGAAUCCCGAGAAAAAUCCGUUUCCCGAGAUGAAACUCUGCCCGGUUUUCCAUCUCGCUAUCUUCAAACUUCCAAGUGAGUUCAUACCCCUACAAACACACUUUAAAUACAUUUUAAAUGCUUUUUAUACUCUUUAAGGGGGGAUACAAGUAAACAUACGGUUAUUAUCGUGUAUUUCAUAAAAUUUCACUUUACUCGUUUUUAUCAAAUGAAUCACUUGUGAUUUAGUUCUACUAUGUGAAAACUCUUGUCAUACUUUGCAUGCAAUAGAUUUAUACAAAGUAUUUAGUAAUUCCCAAGUAUCCUUCGUUGCUAAACCAUUUUAUACAUUCUAAAAACUUAUGAUUUAUGUUUUGUCAAACAUUGUGAAAAAGGAUAAACUUUGCAUACAAAACUAUCACUUUAAUACAGACUUAGUUGAGAAUCCAUGAGACGUGUACAUCUUCAAACACUGCCUUUUAUCAAAAAGGUAUCGCUAUAAGUCCUGUUUAUAACCAGAGUCUCCCGUUCGGAGAACGUGUCAAAUGUGUAUAGAUCUAUACGGGAAGUCAUGAUCCCGCGCCCUGACUGUUAGCUACAGUCCGUCUUUUGGGGUGACAGUUUGUCAUAACGCUACGACGCCUGAAGAACGUCGCUACAGGCAUAUUAUGUUUAGUAUGGUUAUAAAACUCAUCGGAUAUACAAUUAUUAUGGUAUUAUGCUUUUAUGAAAGAGUAGCUAUUAAAACUAUUCUUCAUCUAACAACUACGAUCUUCGUAUAGCUUUAUUAUAUAAAACUAUGCCACUCCUUUCAAGCACGUCGGUUGCUUGCGAUUUUCGGUCUUAGAGACUGCCAGUUAUGUUAUGAAAAUAAGGGUUUUUCCUGUAUACAAACCAAACAACUAAUAGGAAAAUAAGGGAUUUUCUCGGUACAAUUAGUUGCAACUUAUAUCACGAACAUUCAUAUGCAUUUCAUACUUUUAUAAGAAAAUAAGGGAUUUUCUUGGAAAAUAUACACUCAUUUUGGAAUGGCAUUCAAUGCUUCUAAAUCACUUAUGAACUCACCAACUUAAUUGUUGACACUUUUUCUUUGAAAUAACUUGUAUUCUCAGGGAAUCGUUAAGUAGGUUUGGAAAUCAACUUUUGGGGAAUAACGCGCUGGCAUUAUUUACUUCUUUUGAAAGAUGUUUAUGCAUUUAUCUUUUGAGCAUGUAAUGAAUACAAUGAUGUAAACAUUUUUAAAACCUUUAUAUAUGUAUGGUGGUGUGUACUUUCCUUUCUAUGAACUGUUAUGAUACUGAAUAUGACGUCCUCCGCCCCCGAACGUUUCCGCCGUUCUGGUUUGGGGGUGUGACAUAUGAAAACAUGGAUCUUCACUAGUUAUAGCAAUGAAUCAACUAACAAUGGAAGGAAUGCUUACAUUUUUGAAGAUCAAAGUGAAGAACUCGAUGAUACUUGAGAGAGAAUUCGGGUUUCUAGACUUGAAAUGGUAAGAAAUGAGGAAAAGUGAUGGAAAAUCAUGUAUAUAACAUGAGUUUAUGGCCAACAUGAGUUUACGGUCGUAAACUCAUGGUGGUGUGGCCGUAAAAUCCACAUGAUGGGGUUUAAAGCUCUAUUAGUGCACAAUGGACUCAAGCAGAUACUUCCUAACACCCGAUCCUUGAAUGUACUAUGCUUAGAACACUCAAACAGACCCUAAAGAGUGCUAAAUGAUAGCAGAAACAAGUCUGACUUGGAUUGAAUUGAUUGAUUGUACAAGAUAGAAAUUUCAGGUUGUCGCAUCAUCCCCCCGUUAGAGAGAAUUUCGUCCCGAAAUUAGAGUUGAAGCAAUUAAGUAGUUAGAAAUAACUAAUUAAAAAGAUGAAGAUAUUUUAGUUUCAUCUGAUCCUCGCGCUCCCAAGUGAAUUCAGGUCCUCGCUUGGCAUUCCAGCGAACCUUCACUAUCGGGAUACGGCUUUGGUUCGUUUGCUUGACCUCACAGUCCAUGAUCUCUACUGGUUCUUCCAUGAAGUUUAGGCUCUCGUUGAUCUCGAUCUCGUCGAGUGGGACUACAUGAGUCUUGUCGGACGGAAAUUUUUUUCAAGUUCGAGACAUGGAAAGUAGAAUGUACGUUAUUGAGUUCACGAAGUAGAUUGAGUUUGUAAGCUAUAGGGCCGAUUCUAGCGAGAAUAUCGAAUGGCCCUACGUUUCUUGGAUUUAGCUUCCCACGCUUUCCGAAGCGUAUCAAGCCCUUCCAAGGUGAGACUUUCAAUAGAAUGCGGUCUCCCACCUGGAAUUCCGAAGGUUUCCUUCUUUUGUCAGCGUAGCUUUUCUGUCGGUCUCUAAAGGCUUUCAAUCGUUCACAAAUCUGAAAGAACUUCUCUAUUGUUUCCCCGAUGAUCUCCAGACCUGUGAGAGUGCUAUCAGGAACUCGUCCUUUAGCUAACUGGGUGUCACCCACCUCAGCCCAGCAAAGAGGAGAUCUACACUUACGGCCAUAGAUGGCUUCGAAUGGAGCAGCCUUUAUGCUCGUGCGACAACUGUUGUUGUAGGAAAAUUUGACAAGGGGUAAAUGAGUAUCCCAUGCCUUUCCAAAGUCAAUCACACAGGCUCUCAACAUAUCUUCCAAAGUUUGUAUAGUCCUCUCACUUUGCCCGUCGGUUUGCGGAUGGUAGGCUGUACUCACGUCCAGCCUAGUUCCUAGGGAACUUUGUAGCGACUGCCAGAACCUUGAAGUGAAUCUACUAUCUCUAUCAGAGAUAAUGGAUAUGGGAACCCCACGCAGUUGUAAGAUUUCCCUAAUGUAAGUUCUAGUCAGUUUCUCCAUCUUGUCCGUCUCCUUGAUUGGUAGAAAAUGCGCAGAUUUGGUCAAUUUUUCGAUGAUUACCCAAAUGGUAUCAAGUCCACCCGUUGUCUUGGGCAACUCAGUUAUGAAGUCUAUACUAAUCCGCUCCCAUUUCCACUCCAGUGUCUUCGGUUUCUGUAGUAAAUCUGAGGGUUUCAGGUACUCGACCUUAACCUUUGCGCAAGUAAGACAUUUACUCACGAAGGUAGCAAUAUCUGCUUUCAUGUUAGGCCACCACUAUAGUUUCUUAAGAUCCAAAUACAUCUUAUUUGAACCUGGGUGUACGGAAUAUCUAGUGUUGUGCACUUCAAUCAUGACCAAGUCUCUAAAAUCACCGUGUUUCGGUGUCCAGAUACGAUCCAUGAGAUACAAGGCUCUGCCACCCUUGAUUUCCAAGUUUUUAUCCAUCCCUCUCAGGGAUUCACCCGCCACAUUUUCAGGUUUCAAGGCUUCUAGUUGAGCCUCCUUAAUUAGUGUGGACAAGUGUGAAUGGAUAGUCAUAGUCAAAGAUUUGACUCUCUGACCAGAGUAGUCUUUCCGACUUAGGGCGUCAGCUACCACAUUGGCUUUACCGGGAUGAUAAUGAAUUUCGCAUUCGUAGUCGUUGAGUAGCUCGACCCACCGUCGUUGUCGCAUAUUGAGCUCCUUCUGAUCGAAUAUGUGUUGAAGGCUCUUGUGCUCUGUGAAGAUAGUGCUCUGUACCAUACCGGUAGUGUCUCUAGAUCUUUAGAGCAAAUACCACUGCUCCUAACUCAAUAUCGUGUGUUGUAUAGUUGACUUCGUGUGUCUUUAGUUGACGGGAGACAUAGGCAAUGACCUUUCCUCUUUGCAUAAGAACACAACCAAGCUCUUGGUUGGAUGCAUCGCAAUACACAACGAAAUCUUCUAUCCCUUCUGGGAGGGAUAAUAUCGGUGUGGUGCACAACGCUUGUUUCAGUGUUUGGAAUGCCUUCUCUUGUUUCUCUUCCCAGUCAAAGGCCACUCCUUUUUGGUUCAAUGUAGUAAGCGGUUUCGCGAUGCUAGAAAAGUUUUGUAUUAACCUGCUAUAAUAGCCAGCGAGACCUAGAAAUUAACGAAUUCAUGUUGGUGUUUUCAGUGCUGACUAGUUCUCAAUGGCCUUGAUUUUUGAUGGGUCCACGUGAAUUCCCUUUUCGCUAACAACGUGGCCCAAGAAUUCGACUCUUCGAAUCCAAAACUCGCACUUAGAGAACUUCACAUAGAGCUUCUCCAAUCGUAAUGCUUCUAAGACUCUGCGUAGGUGUUGACUAUGCUCCUCCUUACUUCGGGAGUAGAUAAGUAUGUCAACGAUGAAGACAAUGACGAACUGAUCCAAGUAAGGACGACACACCCUAUUCAUUAGAUCCAUGAAUACAGUCGGUGCAUUGGUCAAUCUGAACAGUAUCACUACAAACUCGUAGUGUCCAUAACGAGUUCGGAAGGCUGUCUUGGGGACAUCCUCCUCUAGCACUCGUAACUGGUGAUACACGGAUCCUAGAUCUGUCUUCGAGAAGUAGUUCGCUCCCUGAAGUUGAUCAAAUAAGUCGUCAAUUCGAGGUAGAGGGUAACGAUUCCUGAGAGUAAGUUUGUUCAGCUCUUUGUAGUCGAUGCACAUACGAAACAAUCUGUCUUUCUUCUUUACGAACAAGGCCUGUGCUCCCCAUGGUGAGAAGCUUGGUCUAAUGAAUCCCUUUCUGAGAAGUUCGUUAAGCUGACUGGAAAGUUCCUGCAUCUCUGUUGGUUCUAGAUGAUAAGGCGAUUUGGCUAUUGGGGUAGCCUCUGGGACUAAGUCGAUUCGGAACUCGACUUGACGAUGUGGUGGUAAUCUCGGUAGUUCUUCUGGAAAGAUGUCGGGAAAGUCGUGUACUUUUGGAAUGUUCUGAAUGUCUUUCACUUCUUGGCUCGUAUCGACGAUGUGUGCAAGGAAUGCAUGAUAUUCCUUUCGUAAGCACUUCUGAGCUUGAAUACACGAGAUGAUGCGAAGGUUUGUACUUGAUUUUUUGCCAUAGAUAACUAGAGUUUCGUUGUUAGGGAGGUUAAGGCAAACUGCUUUCUCAAAGCACAUGAUGUCAGUGCAAAGAAGACUCAAUGAAUCCAUGUCGAUUAUAACGUCGAAACUUUUAAUUAAGAUCGGCAUGAGUUCGAUUUGGAAAGAAUGGCCAUCUAGAGUUAAAGUACAACCUAUGUAUAUGCAGUUAGUGCUUUUCGUUUUCCCGUUUUCCAUUUCUACAGUGAAUGAUUCCUCUAGUGCACGUGGUUUUUGUUUGAGUAAGUAAGAAAAUUUCUUGUUCGCGAAACUCCUCUCCGUUCCACUAUCAAAUAGUACGCAAAAAUAUGAAUUAAUGAGGAGAAACUUACCAGUAACUACCAUAGGAUCAGCUACGGCUUCCUCGUGGCCUAUCACCAGAAUUCUUCCCACUCUGCCAGCAUUUCCUGCCUUCGGGUAGUCUCUUUUAAAAUGACCAACCUCGCCACAACUGUAGCAAGCCUAGCCCACAACAAUGUCAGGGACUUGGUUAAUUGGCCUCGCCGGAGCCUUGCAGAAACGGGUAGUGUGCCCCCCUCCUGUUGCAGUUAGCACACUGCAUUUCCCGACAGGCACUAUUAUGAUGGAAAGUGCAUUUGUUGCACUUGGGCAAAUUCCCAGUAUACUGCUUCCUCGAUGCAGUAGCAGUAGGUGCAAUCGCGUCAUGAACAACCACAACUUGUUGCUUCUUGGCAGAGUUCUACCCCAAUUUGCCCUUCUUGUUAUCCUAGAACGUUCGCUUGUUGUCAGCGGCUUUGGAGGACUCUGAGAUAGCUAGGGCUGUUUUCGUUGUCGGGGUGGGGACUCCGUGAUCAAUGAGUCGUUGUGCCAUUCGCUUGGCAAUGUCGAAAGUUGUGGGGUUUGAAGCUAAGACAUUCCCCUGAAAUGGAGGCACCAACCCAAAAAUAUACCUCUCGAUCUUCUUUCCCUCAGUGGGAACCAUAUUGGGACAUAGUGCCACCAGAUUGUUGAAUCUGGUAGUUUAAGCCACUAUGUUGGAGCCCUUCAUGGUCAGGCUCUAGAGUUCUUAUUCUAGUUUCUGAACCUCGCCCCUCGGGCAAUAUUCUUGUAUCAUAACCCUUUAAGAGCUUCCCAUCUCAUAACAUUCGCCACUAUUAAAGUAAGUGACUUGACAUGGUUAUUCCACCAUGUCAGGUCUCUAUCACCAAAGUUGCAUACAACAAAUUUUACUUUGCUUCCUUCAGUACAGGAACAAAUCUCAAAGAUCUAUUCCGUCUUCUCGAACCAUUGCGACAGAGCAAUGAUUCCACCGAUUCCAUUGAAGACUCUAGGUUUACAGUUGGUGAAGUCUUUAUAACGGCAAUCUCGCGAGCACACAACAACAUAGCCUUGUGUGGAAUGAACGAUUGUUCCACCUCCACUAGUACCUUGUUUGUUGGUGUAUUGAGCCAUGGCCAUCGCAACAGCCGCAGCCACCGCAACAUUAAGAGCUGCCGUAUCGAAUUGUGGAGGAGGUGGUGUUUGAGUUGGAAUAAUCGGAGGAUUAUGCCUUGUUGAUUUGCGAGGAGGCAUCUUUCAAAUAUAAGUUUAAAAUAUGAGUACAAUGAUAAGAAUCCAAUAGUGAAGUUAAUGAAUGAGUCUCAUGAACUAAAUAGCCAUAGUUCAACAACUAGAUAAGAGUGUGAGUUCUAUAGAGUUCUAGAAUCAGAAAAAUGAAAGUAUUUGAACAAAGAUUUCCACAAGAGAUUAGUUGACUACCAAUAUCAUUGAUGUUAACGAUGUAAUAAGUUUGGGAAAAUUUACCUAAGAGUAGGUCUUACAUCAUAUCAGAAGUAGGAAAAUUGUGGCAGUUCAAAGACCUAAUCGACUGAAAGUUCGAGGUCUUAACACAAAUGGAAAAUUUAAUACUAGCAUCUAUACAUAGACCUAAGUUAUACCCAAAAGAUAGAGUAGAACACAGUCUACUUCCUGCUAGAUCCUGAUUUGGAUUUAGACAGACGGUGUUCUAGUUCGUAAAAACGCCUAUCCUGUACCAACAGACGAUCUCGCAACACUUGAACUUCGGGUUGGGAUGCCGCUAGUUCGCCAGUCAAGAAGUUAGUAUGAUCUCUUAUCGCGCCAUGUUGGUCUUCCAAAUUACGAAGACGAACAGUGUCGACUCCAGCGAUAGCUUCGCUCUGCAUCAGACGAUUGCUAGUAACCCUUCCAUGUUCGGUAUUACGAGCAAUAUGACGAACCAGCAUGGGAAGUGCUCUAUCUGCUGACCCUCCAGAUUCUAAAUUGUAGAAGCUUCGGUCUCCUUGGUAAGGGUGAUUCUGACCUUGUUCAUUGCUCCACCUGUCUAUGCUUAUGGCCCAUAGAGGUGUCGGACCUAGAAAAGCCGGAUGAGGGUUAGGAUUUGGGAUUUGGGCCGCAGGUGGUAGAUUCUCGACUUCGGGUUCGGAUUCAAGAUCCUCGGGGAAAUCUUUUGUGAAUUCAUCAUCUAAAGCAAUCGCAUGCUCUUCUUCUAUUUCGGCGUCAAGCCAACCAUCGUUUCCUUGCUUUGGGAAGUACGGAUCACCAAGGAGAUUAAAUCCAGCCAUUUAUCUAGACGAGAAAUAAAGGUAAAGAAUUUAUUUAACAAUUCUAAAAUAAAGAGAUAAACAAAUAAAAGUUUCUGUAAGAGAAACUUACUUAUAAUCCUAAUAUGACUCUUACUGGUUCCUUCUAUGAGAACAUAAUGCAUACCAAUUAUAUACUACUUGGGUUGAAUAGUCCUUCGAAUAAGUGAUCCUGCUCUAAGUCCACAUCCAAACAAGGAAAAGGAAAUAAAGCUUAGACCACAUAUUCUUAGUCUAUGAAACCUAAUUGUAUAUAAUCAUAAUGUAUGCACUUAGUACUCAUAGAACUAUCAGCAAAAGCCUUUUGUUCUUAUGAAGUUUGUUCUUUGAAUGAAUAGUGCCUAAAAUACUCCUAUAGUAUUUUACCUUAUGUUUUGUUCUCAUGUUCUUCUAUAUAUGAAGAUGUAUAUGUAUUGUUUGGUAAGUUUUAGAAAUGUCGCAACACCACCAUCACUCCCAAACACACGUUCACCAUAUCUCAAACGAAUAUAGUUGAUCAAGCUAUAUUGAUCUGAGAUAUGAUUACAUAACUGCCCAUGUUUGACUGUAGUAUCGAACAUCUAAUUACAUUUGUUAUGUUCUAGUAUGACACUGUUCGGUAGUAAGUAUGUAGGUAUGUAAUUAUGUAUACUUUUAGUUAAGUAUUUUAGUACUUAAAAAGUUUAAAUUCUUGGUCAGAGUAUUUUAAUCCCAAUGUGUUUAUAGUUUGUAUAUCUUUUAUGGGUUGAUAUACUCGAUUCACUAUAAACAAUGCUUUGAUACCAAUCUAUCACACCCUAAAACUGGAACGGUGGAAAUGUUCGGGGGCGGAGGACGUCAUGUACAGUAUCAUAACAAUGCAAAGUAGUAAACAAGAAACAACAUCAUCCACUACAUUAAUCGUAUAAUUUCAUACAAGUGUGUUCUUUAUAUAGAAUAAGACACCAAAAAUGCAUAAUCAAAAUAAAAACGAGUCUUGAACAUGCUCCGUCUUCUCAAAACCUGGUCAUCGCUAUCUGUCUACUGGUGACUUGAGAAUACAAGUUAUUAUGAAAGCAUAGAUCAGCAUUUAAGCUGGUGAGUUCAUAAGUAUUUAGUGUCAAUGUUUGUAUAAGUUUGCUGAAAGUGUUUGUAAAUGUUUGUAUGUGUUUGAAAGCUCCUACAAAAUCCUAUAUUUUCUACUAGUAUAAAAAGUAGUCUUCUACCAAGACCCGGCUGUUUUGUAUGUUUUUCUCUAUAAAAGUGAAUGUUUUUCCCAAGUAUGACUAUCAUUACCAAAAUAUAGUUUUACAUUACCGUUUAUGUGAGAAGAUCACAAUUUAAAUGUAAUAGGAAAAUGUAUGUGUACUGCAGUAUUAUAUGUAGUAACUACUAUAGUAAUAACUACCUUAAAACCAAUGGUUUAUUUAAGGUAAAAUGUGAUUAGGUUGUUACCAUACUAAACCGACUAUAACACGAUGAUGAAAGACUUCGGAAGAAAUGACAUUUGGCACCCGUAGACUUGCAAGUCCCACUGUAGCGAACAACAAGGUGUAGGAUAGUCAAUCCAGUAUAGAUAUAUACACAAACUCAUGCUUUCCCUCUAGGAGAUUCUGGUUACAAAAAUGAGACAACCAAAUGGUUGUUGUGUCAUGAACUAGUAUCUCACAUUAAGUUAUCUUGAAUCUUGUUAUAGUAUACUUCUUAUGGUAAUAGUAUUCUCUGUAUAGUAUUCUCUGUUAUAAUAUUAUUUGUAUAGUAUUCUCUGUUAUAGUAUUCUUUGUUCUAGUAUUCUCUGUCUAGUAUUCUUUGUUAUAGUAUUUGUAUAGUGAUAGUAUUCUCCUAAACUAUACCUAUUAUAGUUUACUAGUAAUUUCUGUAGUUUGAAUGAAUAAAUGCAUACCUUUGCUACCUAAAGGUACUGAACCGAUUGAUAGUACUUUUAUAUCUACAUAAAUAGACAUAAUAUAUAACUAAUAUUAAAUGACAUUCAGACAAAUAACCGAUACCCUAAGUCCACAUCCAAAUAAGGAAAAGGAAAUAAAGCGAGGCAUUGGUCCUAAGUACUUUAAACAUUAUUUACAUAACUAUACAUAUAUAGACAUGCUUUUGACAAUAUAUAUAAGUUUAAAAAGAAGUUUUGUAAUACAUUUGAAGAGUUUAACAGUUUAAAUAAAUAUUGAUGAUUGAUGUCAGUUUAUAAAACGAUUUAAAAGCAUUUUUUUGAUAAGACAGUUUGAAGUAUAUGAAAUCCUUUGUUUGAAACACAGUUUGAAGUAUAUGAAAUCCUUUGUUUGAAACACAGUUAUAAAUAACAUGUUAUUGAUUAUAUAACCAACAUGUUUCCUACUUGUAUUCCCCCAUAAAAUCAUUUAAAACCAUUUGAAACAUAAGUUAAGGGGUAUAAACUCACCUGUAGUGAGUAACUCGAAUGUAAGAUCGAUAAAGGAUGCUAAGUGUCAAGUGAAGGCUUGAGCACACAUGGAUCCUAUUUAGCAUAUAAUGACACAUAUAUGUAUACAGUUAGUGUUUAUACAACUAAUCAUGUGAGGGAAACACCUUAGGGACUUGGAAACACUUGAAUUGAAGUGUUACAACCACAUAUGAUCGCAUAUAUGGGGUGUAUGGCCACACAUUGGUGUUUACAACCAAAGUAGUACAUUUCUAGGAGUUUACGGCCAUAGGGUUUAUGGCCCAAUGAGUUUGCGGCCGUAAACUCAUGACAAAUUGUACCAAAAACGUGUGUUAAGGUCUUAAUUGCAUCAUGGUAGUGUUCUAUGUCACAAGCUCAGCUCUUAGAAGAGUUUAUGGCCAAAAUGGCACCAUUAUAAGGGUUUACGGCCAAGGGAGAUGCUCUUGGCCGUGAACUCCUAUUGUUCUUGGGAAAUCAUUGUUUUCAAGGUGCAAAUUAAGUGCUUUAACUAGAUAGCAAGUAUAGGGAAAGGAUACUUACGAUAUAGAAGCUUGAAAGGGUGACUAAGAUCCAAAAACUUAGUGUGUGUUCUUGGUGUUCUUGAAGAUCUAACCAAAAAGAGGUAGUUUUCAUUUAUGAAAACAUGGAUCUUCACUAGUUAUAGCAAUGAAUCAACUAACAAUGGAAGGAAUGCUUACAUUUUUGAAGAUCAAAGUGAAGAACUCGAUGAUACUUGAGAGAGAUUUCGGGUUUCUAGACUUGAAAUGGUGAGAAAUGAGGAAAAGUGAUGGAAAAUCAUGUAUAUAACAUGAGUUUAUGUUCAACAUGAGUUUACGGUCGUAAACUCAUGAUGGUGUGGCCGUAAAAUCCACAUGAUGGGGUUUAAAGCUCUAUUAGUGCACAAUGGACUCAAGCAGAUACUUCCUAACACCUGAUCCUUGAAUGUACUAUGCUUAGAACACUCAAAUAGACCCUAAAGAGUGCUAAAUGAUAGCAAAAACAAAUCUGGCUUGGAUUGAAUUGAUUGAUUGUACAAGAUAGAAAUUCCGGGUUGUCACACCAUCCCCCCGUUAGAGAGAAUUUCGUCCCGAAAUUAGAGUUUAAUCAAUUAAGUAGUUAAAAAUAACUAAGUAAAAAGAUGAGGAUAUUUCAGUUUCAUCUGAUCCUCGCGCUCCCAAGUGAAUUCAGGUCUUCGCUUGGCAUUCCAGCGAACCUUCACUAUCGGGAUACGACUUUGCUUCGUUUCAGUAAAACUUUACAAAUUUUCCCUUCUAAUCUUAAACACAUAGAUUACAAAAUUUAGAAUGUUUUCUCUUAAUAACAAGUUAACAUAAACUUUUCAUUUCUCUUCAUAUUUUUUAUUGAUUGGGUUGUAAUACUGAUUUCAGGCUGCCAGGUACUUGACAAAUUGGAAAAUAACUUUUGCACUAUUAAGGGUGCAAGGUUAGUCAGCCAAGAUAAUGAAGCCUUAUCAGUUAUCUUAUUGUCUCUGAAACAUCAGUUGUGAAGGUGAAUUUUAUAAUUUUAAAACUCCUGGCAUAUAUUUUCUUAAGUGUAAAAAUGAUGUUUAUGAUCUUAUAUUUUGUCUUUUGGAUUGUUUCAGGGAUCAAAAUGUUGUUACUUCAAACCAGUCCUUGAGAACUCUUUCAAACAUAAUUGUUGCGGCUAGUAUAUAUUCUACAAGGGUGCUUGAUGAAAUAUUUUGGGAACUUAUAGGCUUCACUGCUAGCCUUCUUCAUAUAAAAAAAUCAGAUUAUAAUGACUUGUUGAUAAAGGUUCUUUAGUUUUUAUUGUUUAUUAUCAUUUGCAAAAAAGAAGUAGGGAAUGCAAUUAUUUUGGAAGAUUUUUCAAACUUAAUUUCAUCUCAUAAACCUAAAAAAGACAUUUUCAUUAAAAAAAAAAGAUAGGUGGUGGAGAAAGGAAAAAAAAAGGUAGGCGAUGUUUUUUUUUGGUUUUGGUUAAAAUUAGGCGUGAAGACCUUUGAAGACAGUGGCCCAUGUCUACGCCAGGAAGACCUCGCACAAACGUUUUUUGAUCUACGCACUUCCAGAAAAUAAGCACUCUGCGAGGGCAUAUGUGUGCGUUGUCUGCGCAGUGCAAAAAAAAGUGGUUGCCCAGAUAUGCACAAAAAAACAAACAACCCCUUACUGAAGUGUUUAAAGUGGGAUUUCCAUAUAGUAUACUUUGUAUACCAAACGGGCCCUACCUCCGAUAUGAUCCUACCUAGUUGUUCCUUACUUGAUAGAUCUUGAAGUAGACUUUGAGUUAAUGAUGAAUCUAGACUAAUAAUUAGUCGCAAUAAAUAUUAGACUAAAACUUAGUGAUAAUAAUACUAGGUUUCGUCAACGGAAAAGACAAUUGUUAGAAGCAAAGCGCUGCCCGAAUUUUGAGUUGUCACUUUAACAAGUGAGUGCAUAGUCCCUUUCAUGAACAUGAUUUUAGUACAAGUAUUAAUUAAAGUAUUAAAUAUCUAUUAAAGAGUUAAAUAGAUGUUAAAGAGUUUAUGUGUGAGUGCAUAGUCCCUCUCAUGAACUUGAUUUUAAUACAAGUAUUAAUUAAGUAUACGAUAUAUGUUUAUGUGUGAAAUAUUUGAUAUUGCCUAAAAUACGUGUUAAGAGCAUAUCUGAUAAUAUAUGAUGAUUUAUGACAAAAUAAAGCUAAGUUCAUUAAGAUGAAUAUCAGUUAGUAUCUUUUUAUGAGUAUGGGUGAUUUAUACACGAAGGGUAGAACUUUAAAAUUUGUCACUGAUCUGAGAGCAUGGAUAAGACAGUCAUUCGUCCUUAGUCUAAGAGUAUGGUGACGGCAUAGUCAUUUGUCAUUAAUCCGAGAGCAUGGAUUAGACAUAGUUAGUCAUCCUUAGUCCAAGAGUAUGAAGAGGGCAUAAUCAUUUUCCAUUAAUCUGAGAGCAUGGAUUAGACAUAUUCAUUCGUCCCUAGUCCGAGAGUAUGGAGUGGGCAUCGUCAUUUGGCAUGGAUCUGAGAGCAUUAAUUAGACAUACCUGAUCCGAGAGUAUGGAUUAGGUAUAGUUGUCAAUUUUAGAUCUGAGAGUAUCGAUCAUAUUGUUGUAAGGAUCGACAGGGUGGGGUAAAAUUGCUUAUAUGAGGUGAAAUUAUAUAUUACGAAUUCUAAUAUAUAUAUAUAUAUAUAUGAUAUAACAUUGUGGGAUUGAAAUCCUUAUAUACUCACUAGGUUUCCCAACCUGACCCACACAGUUUGAUGUAUCACUGGUAGUUAUAUGGAAGAUACAUUACACUAAGAGAUUAAAGGAGAUGUAAUUCAUUAGUGUAAAUGAAUAUAAUGUCUGGUUAUGCUUAUGGUUUUGUAUUUACAAUGACAUCCCAAUGUUUUAAUAUAAAUAAAAUACAUUUCUUCGGAAAUGCUUUGAUAAUGUAUUUAUCAUAUUUUGGGGGACAAAUUUUGUACUAAUAUUCUUCAAAAAUGAUACUCUGAUUUUUAAAUAAGCAUAAAAAAAAUUAGACUUUUUUGGCCGUGAAAAUGGGGAUGUCACAGUAUACAUAAACAUCCAUUGUGUUAUUUUGUUGUGUAUUAUUCUCUAAGUUUAAUAUAUUAUUAUUUUUUGUUAUAUGGUUUUCAGCGUUGUAGUUAGUUUGCAUCUUCUGUAACAUCCCCAAAAUCAUGACCAAAAAUGUCAUUUUUAAUUAUUAAAUAAAACCAUGGUUAUCAAAACAUAAGUCAUAGUAUCUCAAAACAUUAUUAUCAGAGUUUCCAAAUCAAAACAUUAGAGUAAACAUCCCAUGUUAAUCAUUAAGGUAUGUGUAAUGCAGUCAUCCCGAGCUCUUCUCUUUGCAACUAGAAGUACCUGAAACCAAAACUGAAAAUCGUAAGCACGGAGCUUAGUGAGUUCCCCAUACUACCACAUAACAUACACAUAAUCACAUAUAUUGGGCCCCCUCCCCUUCAUCAAGCCCCGCCAAGCAUCGGACACUAUCCGGCAUUAGGCCCCGCCUGGCAUCGAACCCCGCUCGAUAUACAUAUAUGUUUCUCCCAGGCCCCGCCCGCUAUACACAUACAAACUAUAUUAUAUAAUCAUGUUAGCACAUAAAGAAUCAAACACAAUACUACAUGUUCCGGUCCUAAGGCCUCGCCUAUCAUGGGCCCUAUCCCUACUCUCCUAAUGAUGACAUAUGGUACCCCAUCCAUACUCAGAUAGUGAUGAGAUAUGGGACCCCGCCCACCUCCCUACCAAACACAUACAAGUAUCACAUAGACAACAAGUAUAUCUAAACAUGCAUACAUUCCUCGGGUACCACUCGGCAUUGAACCGUAGUUUGGAAAUCGACAUAUAAGCAUUCCUUAGGCCCCGCCCGACAUCGAACCGUAAUCUGGAAGCAUACAAACAUUCCUCGGGCACCAUCCGACAUCGGACCUUUGUCCAGAAUACAUACAGUCAGACAUACGGGUCGGUGCCUUCGAACCAUUCAAACAGGAGGAAAUUCACCUCAAAUGCCAGAUGAUAGUUGAAACGUCUCUGACUGAAGUCAGCUCUACUCACUCCCUGAACCAAAGCAACCCCUUAGAUACCAUUUCAUGCUCAUAACCCUUUAAGGUCAACUGUGGUCAAAUUCAAAGUCAACGCUCCGAUUUGACUCAACUCGUCGAGUUUACUCCUUAACUCGCCAAGUUCCCAUAAAUCAGAGAAUCGUGAAAUCGUGAUCCAACUCGUCGAGUUUUCCUCCAACUUGCCGAGUUCCUUCUUUUUCACCAGAAUCGGGGACAUUCCAAACCAACUCGCCGUGUUACCUUAUGGACUCGUCGAGUUCAUCAGUCUGUCAACACUUCCUAAUUCAUUAAGAAAUUAUUCUUCAAAUCCAAGUCCCAUAUUCUAGAUCUAGACUGAAAAUGCCUCUAGAAGGGUAAAGUUUCCAACUUUAGCCAUUAAUACCCCUCCUAAAGGGAUUAAGCUCAACCCUGAGCCCCCAAAAGGCUUAAAUCUAAAUCCAAAGGCCAUCACCUUCAAGAUAGGACAUAUGAACAUAGAUAUGGACCUUAAAGACUAGAUAAUAACUUAAAGUCUCCAGCUUUCUCUACAUGCAUGGCCAUUAUAAGCUUAAAAGGCCAAAAUGGUAGUCUAAAGGUUGCAUGGGACUUUCAUGGCCAUAAAGUUGGCACCUUUAUGCCAUGAAAGUCCUUCAAGACUCUAUAUAUGAAGUGUUUUCCAUUCGGGACAUCCAACUCUCAAGAACCAUACCAUUUGGACCAAAAACAAGCAAAAAGUACUAAUAAGGAGAUCUAAUCAACUAUUAGGCAAGUUUGAAACUUGAUUACUAGAAAGUGACAAAAAUGUAGUAAGGUUUCUGGAUCUAGCAACUCUUCCUUGUUCCUUCAAACUUUCCUUCCUUCCAAGAGCUUCAAACACCCAUAAGAACACUCAAAAUGGCUCACAAUCACUCAAAAAUAGCUUAGGGUUUCGAGAUUUAUGGUUAAGACAGUGGAGCAUGGAAAUGAGGCCAAAACCCUAUAGCUUAAGUUGUUUAAAUAGGGUGCAAAUCCCAAAACUUAGGGUUUCCCAAACCACGUCCAACUCGUUUAGUUGUGCCUCUCUAACUCAUCGAGUUGAUUCUCAAAAACACGCGCCCAAGAUUUCCAACACGUCGAGUUCUCCCCCUUGGACUCGACGAGUUGGCCUUAUAGAUGUUGAUUUCUUUUUCCUUAUUUGGCCUUCUAGAUUUCGGAUGUUACAUCUUCCCUCAUUUACAUGAUCGUCUUAUAAUGUAUGGAUGUCUUAUAUGUAUCUACUAUUAAUAAGUGGUUAUAACAUAACAAAAACACAAAGUAAUAAUGAUGAUUUUAUAAUUAAAAUUUAUUGACAAAUUUAAUUUGAAUUCUUUUACAUUGGAAUUGAACAACUCAUAAUGUUGUCAAAAUUUUCUAAUCAUAUACAUUUGUAUAAAAUAUCUAUCAAAAUUUAAUUAUAUUAGUUACAUAUCCAAUGAUCGAACCAAAUAAAAAAUAUUUUAUAGGAUUUUGCAAAUUAAGAGAAUAUAUCUUCAACUAAUUGUAACAAAUAAAUUUGAAUAAUCAUAUUUUUCUUUUGUCUCCAACUAUAUAAACAUAAAUAUAUUCUUGAAAUCUAAAGAAAAUAGAAUGAAAGGUAUAUGAAUAUAAAUUGAAACCCACAAAUCAAGUAAAUAUAUUUUAGACUUUCAAAAGCUUGAUUAUCAUAUCCACAUUUAGUUUUUCAAAAUAUAUUUUAUCAUUCAAAAAAUUUCUUUCAUUUAAUCAGUUAAUUAGCAUAAGAUGAAAAUGUGAGAAUUUCAAAUAAAUAUAGUUCUCUCUCUCUCUCUCUCUCUCUCUCUCUCUAUAUAUAUAUAUAUAUANNNNNNNNNNNNNNNNNNNNNNNNNNNNNNNNNNNNNNNNNNNNNNNNNNNNNNNNUAUAUAUAUAUAUAUACAGAGAGAGAGAGAGCUAGGUUCCGUUGAGAUUAAAAAUAAAAUAGAGAUUUUGAGAUUCAACCUCAGCAAUAUAUUUAAAAUCUGAUGCUCUAACCCUCCGGCGUACCAGCACGACAGACCUGUUAUAAUCAUAAAUGAUUAUAUAGCGUCGUCCAUUCCUUUCUCCUCCGCCACCAUACCCUCCAUCACAACCGCCACCGCCACCACCACUACGACCACCCCUGACACCAGUUAACCUCACCACUCUCACCUCCAUCACUUAUACCACCAUAACCUCUGUCACCACCACCUUUUCUGCCACCAACUGUUAUAAUCAUUUAUGAUUACUCGAUGUGUGAAAAGACAUAUAUGUAUAAUAUGCAUAAUCAUAUAUGGUUAUACCUCUCUGCCAUAUAAUCAUUUAUGAUUAGGCAUACCAUUUUGUUUCCGGUACGUUGGAGCGUUAGAGCUGUAAAUGAGAAAUAUGUGGCUGAGGUUGAAUCUUAAGAUCUCUAUUUUUUUUAAUCUCAAGUGAACANAUAUAUAUAUAUUUCUUAAGUUAUUCUAUUUAAACUAAGUAUUGUGUUAUUAUAUGCAUAAUUGUAGGCCAAUCAUUUUACUUAUUUUUCGAAAGUGAAUAAUACAUAUUAUUAAAUUAAAUAUAAUACCAUCUAAUUUCAUUCUAAGGGUAUUUUUGUUAAUUAACAUAAAUUUAAAAAAGGAAAAUUGCAUAUUUUAAGGGAAAAUAGAUUCUAUUAAAUUUAAAAAUCUGAUUAUAUGGAUGAUAAUUCUCCUAAUUCGAAAAUUCUGACGGAAUGUGUUUAUCAAUAUAUUGAAAAAUAACAAAUAUGAUUGAGCCAUACAAGAAUACACAUUCUGACAUAAUAUAUAUUUUGAUUUAAUGUACUUCUUGAAGAAUAAAAAAAAAUUUGGUUACAAGUUAAAAAAAAAAUUCAUUACAUUCUUAGAAAAGACAAAAAAAAAUUAUAGAGUAUUCUAUGAGAAUGUUACACUUAUUAAUAACAAAAAAACAAUAUAUAAAUCAUUCUACCAUAAUACACUAUUAUGUAUAUUUUUUCUUCAUUAUAUUGUAUAUUAUUUUGGUAGAAUAAUCCAUUCUUUUUGUAAGAUUGGUGGUCAUUGUUCAUCUUCAUCCCAUACAAUUUUCAUCUUCAAGAUUCUAUUCCGACCGAAUCAGAAUUCAAGAUUCCAUUCCAGUAGAAUGUUGUAAGUUACAUAUGUACCAUGUUUCGCUUUGAUAUCUCUCGUUUCGUUCCUAGCCAAGAAAACAAGAACAUUCUUGUUAUUGAUUUCAUGUAUACCUGCAAAUGAGAAAUACAACCACUCAUUAUUAUUGUUUAAUCUUCUUUCCAUGACAAUUUCAAGCAAUAAACACCACAUCGAAUUUUGUCAAGCAAAAGAAACAAUUUCCUAUAAAACAUUAACCCCAUAAAUCUGUUCCAUUCAUCCAUUUCUAUCAAGAACAAUCAAACCCAAAACCCAUCAACACUCCACUGUAUUUUUGUCAAAACAAUGGAUCAGAACAUUCUCCACUUGUUAUAUAAUAAAACUAAGUAGUAAAAGAUCAAAACAUUCUUACAUUUCUAUGGUUAUUCUACAAGAAGUUGUUAAAGUUAAUAAAAAUAUUCUUGCACAUAUGCUUGUUGAAAGCAAAUCUCGAAGUCCUAUGAUGAACAAAUGAUGAACGCAUGAACUGCAUUGUAUCUCAAUUUGGAUUGUCAAUCAAUAAAAAGUCAAAAUCAGAAUAAUGAUUACAAUCGGAACAAAUGGUAUUGAAUUCACAGUUGGUAGAGUGAUAAUCGGAGCCAAUGAAAUUGGGUUUUGAAUUUAACUGGAUUGAUCUAAGGAUAUUCGCCAUUGAAUGGUCAAACAGAAAAUUCAAAAUUGAGAUAUUCCAAACUUCUUACCUGCAAACGAUCUAAGAUUCGAAGUUGAAAAUCUGGGCUUGCACUCAUAUCCUCAAUGAUGCCUCUUCACAGCGCAAUUGCAUCUGCAAGUAGGUCAGCGUUAAUGUCUGGUAUGUGAACAAUCGCAUCUCAAACCACCAUAAUUUCAAGAACCCUAGCCCCAAAGCAUGUACCUAUUUCUCCAUUUUCGUCAUCUACAAGAACACUCCCUCGUGAAGCUUCAAGGUAGAUGCUUUACCGAUUACACAUACAAAAAAACACACCAAAACACGUACUACAACCAACCCUAUUUCUAAAUUCUACGAAAUCGAUUUAACCUUUGUGGUGUUAUUCUUCAGGAUUGUUGUGGCAUUGGGAAUGGUUGAAUCCAUGAUGCCUCUACACAGCGCAAUUGCAUUUGCUCGUCUCAAAUCGAGCCUUGCAGUUGAUUCCGCAUGCUGGCCGACAUUGGUGGAUGAAGGCGACGAGUGGUGGAGGACUGUCAGUGAUGACGGUAAUUAUGGUUGUGUUGUGCCCUUCAACAUCGGCAGUAAUGGUUGGGAUCGAAUAGGUGAUGUUUUUAAAAAGCCGAUGGAGAAAACCUAGGCAGCUAAAGUCAAUAGUUACCAUAAUUAUAGGAUAUUAUUUGUGGAAAUUGAUUAUUAAAUUACGUAUUUAUCCUUAUUUAUUUAUUAAUUAUUUAUUUAUAUUUUAAAUUUUUAUUGGUCCAUAUUUAUGCAUACAAUAACACAAUAGAUACAUUAAACACCUAAACCUAGCUCUCUCUCUCUCUCUCUCUCUCUCUAUAUAUAUAUAUAUAUANAUAUAUAUAUAGAGAGAGAGAGAGAGAGAUAGAGAGAGAGAGAGAUAGGUUCAGGUGUUGUAAGUAUUGUGUUAUUGUAUACAUAAAUGUGGGUCAAUCAAAAUUAAGUAAAAAUUUAAAUAAUUAAAUAAAUAAACAAGGGUAUUUUAGUAUUUUGAUAAAUAGAUUCCACAAUAGUCCCUAUAAUCAUGCUAGCAUUAACUUUAAACCUGUUUUUUCUUAUAUACAGUCGUCAUCAGUCAAACAACCUUCUCUCCAUCGUUUUCUAGUCGUCGGCUUCUGAUUGCAUCAGUGUAUCGUCCAACGUCGCCUCAUCCCUUCAUCGGUGCUUCUGGUUCACGUUGGCGUCAGCGCUCAUCGUUCACGUCGGCGUCGGCGCUCCUGUUCACCCUCGUGUUGCACCCAUUACUUUUCUCCUUGACUCCGACUACUUCUCCUCCGAUUAAAUCCACAUGUCGUCGCAACUUUCUUGUCCGACGCGACAUCCUUCCCUGGCGCAACCUCCUUCCUCGUCGUUGGUCAGCCGCCCUUCAUCACGUAUGUAUUUUUUUCCACUUAUAGUUGCUUCACCCUUUUUUAUUUGUUUUUUCUUGUUGAAUCUCGAUUAUAUCUUGCAAACUUGUUAUGAAAUUGAUUGUUCCUGAAAUCAGUUUUUUAGAAACUGGUUUAUGUUCCAGGUAAUUUUUUUGAAAUUGAUAUAUUCUCUUGGUAAUUUUUUUUCUGAUUUAUCAUUCAAAUGUUGUUAAAAAUCGAUUUCAUUUUGCCGAAAUUGAUUGUUGUUUCCAUAUGUUGUUGGUAAGAUUUAGAGACAUUGGUACUGGUAAGCUUCAAUAAGAUUUGUUCUCCCUAAGAUGAAAAAACUAUCAACUGGGGUUAAAUUUGGCUCUCUUGAUGUAUUGUUUGUUAGCUGUGGUAUGACAUUUGUUUCAAUUUUGAAUUUUGAUAUGAUUUUGUAGCUGAUACCACGAAACUUCAUAUGCAUAUACCCUUUACAAUUUUGUUUCACGAGAGAGGUGUGGAGCAAGCUUGGUCAUAUGCAACAGGUGUGUUUCUAUUUAAGUUCUUGAUUUGUUCAAGACAAGUGAAUUACAAGAUUUUGAAUGGUGGUAUAGUUAUUAAUUUGAUGUGUAGGUGUGUGAGCACCAGGUGUUUGACGAUUUGUCUGAGAGAAAUAAUUUAUGUGUCGUAAAGUGUCAGAUUCUUUUCUUAGAUUAUUGCUUUCAGGAUACAAUAUCCUUGUACGUUUUUUUUGGUAAUUCUUAGAUCUUUUAGUUUCAAAUCUUAUUACUUGUUGUUGUUUAAUUUCAGAGGAAUCGAGUAAAGAGCAAGUUGGAAGAACUUAAUCAUAUUUGCACUGCUACAGUUGGUGACGAAUUCCGAUUCUAUGGGAAUUAAAUCUCGAUAUUUCCUUUGUGAUUUGUGUAUUUUUAUGAUUGUAGUUCUAUCGGGAUCGAAUCACGAAUUCCAAUUCUACUAGAAUGGAAUCUUGAAUUCUGAUUCUGUCAUAAUAGAAUCUUAAAGAUGAACAAUGUAUGAGAUAAAGAUGAACAAUGACCACCAAUCUUCCAAAAAGAAUCGAUUAUUCUACCAUAAUAAUAUACAAUGUAUUAAAAAAAAUAUAUGUAAUAGUAUAUUCUGGUAGAAUGAUUUAUAUAUUGUGUUUUUUUGUUAUUAAUAAGUGUAAUAGUAUAUUCUGGUAGAAUGAUUUACCACAUUCUAUAAGAAAUUAUAUAUUUUUUGUUUUUAUUCUUCAACUGAUUGUUCAAGAAUUUGUUAUUCUACAAGAAGUUGAUAAAGUCAUGAUCAGGAAAUAGGUUCAAGAAUAUUUUUAUUAUUUAUGGUAUAAGAAUAUUUUUAUUUUGGAAUAUACUCAUAAACAUAUUCUGUCAGAAUGUCCGAAUUAAAAGAAUUAUAAUUCAUAAAAUCGGAUUUUUAAAAUUAAUAGAAUAUAUGAUCCCUUAAAAUUAGUGAUUUUCCCUUAUUAAAUCUAUAUUGAUUGACUAAAAUACCCUUGUAAUUAAAUUAGAUGAUAUUUUUAAAUUAUAUUUAAUUCAAAAAUAUAUCUUAAUCAUUUUCUUAAAAUAAGUGAAAUUAAUUGGCCAACAUUUAUGCAUACAAUAACACAAUAAUUACUUUUAAUANNNNNNNNNNNNNNNNNNNNNNNNNNNNNNNNNNNNNNNNNNNNNNNNNNNNNNNNNNNNNNNNNNNNNNUAUAUAUAUAUAUAUAUAUAGAGAGAGAGAGAGAGAGAGGGAGAGGGAGAGAGAGAGAGAGAGCUAGGUUCAGGUAUUUAAACUAAUUAUUGUGUUAUUGUAUUUAUAAAUAUAGGUCAAUCAAAAUUAAAUAAAUGAUUAAAUAAUUAAAUAAAUAAAUACGGGUAAUUUAGUCAUUUGUUUAAUAACUUCCAAAAAUAAUCCCUAUAAUCAUGGAAAUUUAGUUACCAUCCCUACAAAACCUUCGUUCACCCAUAUACCUUUAUUUCACUGUAUCCAUCAUCGCAUCAAUACCAUCGGGGUUCCUUUUUCUCAAUUUCAUUCGAUCAUUGAUUAGUAGUAGUAGUAAUAUUAAUGGAGGUCACUGGCGUUGUACACCGUCAGUCUCCGAGCUUCUCUUUGAGCGGUGGUGAUGCCUUUAACUCCUUGCACGUGCACUCUUUUCCGAAGAUGAAACCAGCCAGAUCUUUCUGUCUUAAACAAUCAUUCAAUGUGAAGUCCCUUUUUGCAUCCGUGGGUUUUGAUGAGCUUUCCGACAAGAGCCACCAAACACAUGCUCGAUUCUGAGACCCAUCUCAUAGCGAAUCAAGAUCUAACCUUUGAUUUCGGAUUUGAGGUAUUUUUGAAGAAAUAGGACACGAAGAGGGUAAUUCUGAAGAGGGUAUGUCUAAAGAAAUAAUUAAGGUUAGAAUUCAGAAUCGGGGUUCCUUUUUCUCAAUUUCAUUCGAUUAUUGAUUAAUGUAUGUAUCGAUUUGCUGAUUUGAUUUCAUGUUGCAGGUGAGGGAUGUUAUGAAGAACUUGAAAUAAUUAAGGUUAGAAUUCAGAAUCAGGGUUCCUUUUUCUCAAUUUCAUUCAAUCAUUGAUUAAUGUAUGUAUCGAUUUGUUGAUUUGAUUUCAUGUGGCAGGUGAUCUUAGGCGUACACUCAAAGCUAGCAAAGAGGGGAUCUUUAAACUUACUGUUGGUGAAAUGUACAACAGGUAACAUUGAUCUUUAAUAACUUUGAAUUUGUGAAAAAGAGGAUGAAAUAGAAGUUUUAGAACUUGAAAAUUCGAUCUUUUUUUGAUAAAGAUUAGAAAUGUGCUGUGAUUAUAAGAACCCAAGAACCAUAAGCGUAGAAAGAAUGGUUGUUGAAGCAAUGAAGAAGAUGGAGGCUCCUCCAUCCCCUGUUCAGUUCUUGCAUGUAAUCGAUGAAGACAACAAGUUGACAGGUAUCGUCAUACUACAUGGAUUGGUGUCAGUUGGGCUUUGAAGGUUAUAUAUAUGCAUUACUUCUUCAUUUGUAUCAUGUAGCUAUCGAGGAAUGCCUAUAAUCGUAUAUUACUAUUCUUUUGAUUUAUUGAUUUUUUACUACUCUAUAGAGAUGUAUGUGUUUCUAAGUAGAUCAAUCAUGUUGAGGGUUACACAAAAUUUCCUAUCAUGGUUUUAGUUGAUUUGAAGGUUUUGGGUUUGAUUAGUUGAACACAAAUCAUGGUUGUUUUGGUUUAUUUGACAGAUGAAUGCUUCAAUUGAAUUGAAAGUUGUUUUCAUGCACACCAAGUGCUUGCUAAAAUGCUUCAACUGAAUGGUAUUUCUUCGUUUAUAGCAUUCUAUCAGAAAAUAAUGUUUUUUUAUGAUAAUCAUGAACAUAUUCUGUUAGAAUUCCUUGAAUUAAUAUAAUUAUUAGUAAAUGAAUUCCAAUUCUAUCAGAAUGGAAUCACAAAUUCCAAUUAUGUUGGAAUGGAGUAUGAAUAUUUUCUCACUAACUUAUUCAUUGUAUUUUUGUUUCUACAGAAGCUGAUGCUUGAAGAACGGACCACGAAAUUUGAACGACGCCUCUUAGCAACAUUAUUCUUUUAGAAUGUAUUAUUGUUUUUGUUAGAUUUUGAUGUUUUUUUUUCCAGAUUUGAUUUCUUUUUUAGUUUUAUUCUUUAAAAAUAAAUAUAAUUCUUAGCAAUUGUUACAUGUAUUCUAUAGGAAUUAAUGUAAUUUUUGUUUUAAUUCUUCAAUUGAUGGUUCGAGAAUUUUGUUAUUCUACAAGAAAUUUUUUUAUUUUUUAACAUACUCAAACAUAUUCUGUCAGAAUGUCCGAACUAAAAACCUUAUAAUUUGUAAAAUCAGAUUUUUAAAAUUAAUAGAAUCUUUGAUCCCUUAAAAUAUAUAAAUUUCCUUUAUUAAAUAUAUGUUAACUGACUAAAAUGCCCUUCUAGUUAAAUUAGAUAGUAUUUUUCAAUUAUAUUUAAUUAAAUAAUAUGUAUUAAUCACUUUCUUAAAAUAUGUAAAAUGAUUGGCCCACAUUUAUGCAUACAAUAACACAAUAAUUAUUUUGAAUAGAAUAACCUAAGCCUAUAUAUAUAUAUAUAUAUAUAUAUAUAUAUAUAUAUAUAUAUACACACACACACACACACAUUGANNNNNNNNNNNNNNNNNNNNNNNNNNNNNNNNNNNNNNNNNNNNNNNNNNNNNNNNNNNNNNNNNNNNNNNNNNNNNNNNNNNNNNNNNNNNNNNNNNNUUUAUCGUACUUCGUCGUUUUGUCUCAUAUAAUAAAUUCUAAUUGUCCAAUGUUCUUAUAAUUUAACGUCUAACUUGAUUUACUUCUAGAAUUUUUAUAAACUACAAAGUUAUCUUACUCUUACAUAAUUUUCAUUUUCAACUACAAUAUAUAUAGCAUAUUAGGUGUUCGGAAAAAAAAAUGUGAUGUAAGAGAAAGGUAAUAGUGCAAUUUUGAAAAUUUUGAAAGUAAAUCAAGUUAGUAGUUGAAGUUUAAGAACAUUAUGAUGAAUAUAUCAAACANACUCCUAUCUUUUAACUAUUUCUUUACAAACAAAAUGGCUUGUAAGAUUAAUGAAUACUCGGAACCAUUUUUGUUUCAUAUUGACUAAUCAUUUAUAAAUAUAUAAUUACAAAUAGAUUGGAAUAGAUGAAAUCGAUGGAUUUCCAUAUACGACAUUGUGAUCGACAAAUAGAUUGGAAGCAAAGGGGUCGAAGAGAUAGUAUCCUCUCUCACUAAAUUUCCUAAAUGAUAUGGCAAUGACCAAUUGACCAUGCCGACAUGAUAGCAAUUUUCUAUUUUUGUCAUUUUAGUGACUAGUCCUUUCGCCCCUUAGACAAGUACAAAAGAGACCCUUUUCUUAUGUCGAUCAUCAAAAUAAAUGGAAAUCUAAUCGUUAACUCACUAAGAAUCGCCGCGUAAUCAUCACCUCAUACAUCUUCUAUAAACACCCAACCGAUUGCCCUCUCUAAUCUUGCCUCUAUCCACUCUCAACUCUCAACCACACACACACACCUUCCAUUUCCCAUGGCGUCCUUUCACAAACCUCUCUACCUUUUCUUCGCUUUUUUCUUCGCUUUAGUCUCUUUUUCCAGUGCUUACACCUUCAACGUCGGCGGCAGAGAUGGCUGGACUUUACACCCUUCUGAAAGCUACAAUCAGUUUUCCGGCAGACUAAGAUUUGUCGUUAACGACAACCUCCGUAUGUAUUCAGUUCCUUUUUCUCUUAAGUUCUUGAUUUGGGUUUUCGUUUUUUCAAUGUGGGUUUUUAAAAAAAAUUGAUUCUUGAUUUGCAGAUUUCAAGUACGAUGCUGCAUCGGAUUCUGUAUUGGAGGUCAGCAAAGGUGAUUAUGAUAAUUGCAACACGAACAACCCCAUCACCACCCUCACCGGCGGCGACUCUUUCUUUACCUUGAAUCGUCCAGGACCUUUUUACUUCAUCAGUGGUAAUAGAUCUCACUGUAACGAAGGUCAGAAGCUAGAGGUGGUUGUUAUAUCGCCUAAAACGAAGCCGUCACAUUCCGCCGCUCCACCUCCGGGAGUUUCACUUGCUCCAAUGGUCUCCCCAGGCUCCCCUGUUUCAUCACCACCAGAAUCUGGAACAUCUGGACCGACUGCUCCGAUGGGUUCCCCUAUGUCUUAUUCUUCACCACCAGAACCUGGAACUUCUCCGAUGGCCUCCCCUUUUUCGUCACCACCAGAAUAUGGAGCUACUCCGAUGGUUGCCCCCACUGGAGGUAUCUCAGCUUCUCCAACAGGUAAUCCGUCUGACGUGAACGGACAAUCACCGAAUGGAUCAC
rnacentral:lncRNA from 1 species